rnacentral:lncRNA from 1 species
CCCAAAGCGAACAAUAUUGUGAUACGUGCCAGAGGGGGAUGUUACAAAUGGUAUUAGAGCUAGGGCACGGGUCGAUGUGUUCGACGGGGACAUCGAACCCUAUAAUGGGGGGUGAAAGUGGGUUGGACUGUGAUUUGGGUCAAUCUGUUGGGUCUGCUGUGCAAUAUCUGGCUUGCCCGUUCCAAGUCGAGAGUUGAUUCUUGUGCCUCGAGCGAAGGCUUGGGUUACGUGGAACUUAGAGUAGGGGACAACGCGUUAGGCUGGCUUCACAGAGCUGCGAUAACCCCUCGCUCCCGACAGUGGAAGGAUUACAAGCCUCGGCUCUUCAGUCCCAUCUUAGCCGGCUGCCCUCACGGCUUUAAAACGCGUUGUGAUAGGGAAGGUAUCCACACCCCUUAUAAGGAAUGCUUAGUUCUCCUUCCCAGCCGAUGUGGGAUCAGANUACCCAAGUCAGACGAACGAUUUGCACGUCAGUAUCGCUGCGGGCCUCCACCAGAGUUUCCUCUGGCUUCGCCCCGCUCAGGCAUAGUUCACCAUCUUUCGGGUCCCGACAGGCAUGCUCACACUCGAACCCUUCUCAGAAGAUCAAGGUCGGUCGGCGGUGCACCCCGCUAGGGGGAUCCCGCCAAUCAGCUUCCUUACGCCUUGCGGGUUUACUCACCCGUUGACUCGCACACAUGUCAGACUCCUUGGUCCGUGUUUCAAGACGGGCCGAAUGGGGCGCCCGCAGGCCGGUGCCGGGAGCGCGCAGGUGCCGAGGCACGCCGUGACGGCGCGCGCUGCCAACCAUGAUCGACGCGACGACAUCUCCACGGGCCUAUCAACAGUCCGGGCUUUGGCCGCCGCACCAAUCCGCACCGGACCAAUAUUGUGAUACGUGCCAGAGGGGGAUGUUACAAAGUUAAAGUGGGUUAGAUCUGACCCCACAUCGGCUGGGAAGGAGAACUAAGCAUUCCUUAUAAGGGGUGUGGAUACCUUCACUAUCACAACGUGUUUUUAAAGUCGUGAGGGCAACAGAUCCCAGAAGAAGUCUGCAGUUAAGCGUGCUCGGGCAGGAGUAGUACCAGGAUGGGUGACCCCCUGGGAAGUCCUCGUGCCGAGGGGCCCAAAGCGCACAAUAUUGUUAUACAUGCCAGAGGGGAUGUUACAAAUGGUAUCAGAGCCAGGGCACGGGUCGAUGUGUUCGACAGGGACGUCGAACCAUAUAAUGGGGGGUGAAAGUGGGUUAGAUCUGAUCCCACAUCGGCUAGGAAGGAGAACCAAACAUCUCCAUAUAAGGGGUGUGGAUACCUUCCUUGUCACAACGCGUUUUAAAGCCGUGAGGGCAGCAGAUCCCAUAAGAACUCUGCAGUUAAGCGUGCUCGGGCGGGAGUAGUACCAGGAUGGGUGACCCCCUGGGAAGUCCUCGUGCCGAGUGGCCCAAAACGGACAAUAUUGUGAUACGUGCCAGAUGGGGAUGUUACACAUCAAACCUAAAAGAAAAAUAAAAAUAAAAAUAAAAGAUCUUUAAAGUUCUAUUUUGAGUUUUAAAAAAUAUAUGUUGUAUACGGAUAAUCUUCUACACUGAUUGGGCAAUUAAAAUGAUCACAAAAAUGGUUCAUUAGCCAACGAAUUAUAACCAGAAUUAUAACCGCAAAAAAAUUAUGUUCACCAUUCAAAUUAUAUUGUUAUGUGGAUAUCAAUUUGACAAUUUUAUCAUUUUCUUUCCUUGGAAGAUAUCAUGCAACUAUUUAAUGGAAAUAAAGAAACAAUGAGUAUAACCCAAUAAAGACAUAAAAGUCAAACACUUAUCAUGCAUCAAAAAAUAUGUGAGAAAGUCUUAUUCUUAAAUCCACUUUGUGGAUCACACAUGCACCAGAGUCAGAAAUUGGUUGCAAACAAAUCUAUUUAAACGAUUGCAAUGAUACUUACUAAAACAAACUUAAACAAAUUAAAUCAACUAACAUCGAAUUUUGAAAGUGUACAUUCGUCACCGGUAGAGGAUGGCAUCAAGACCAACACCUUUUCAAAUCCUACAAGCAAAUCCUCGAUGUUAGGUUAAACCAUUCAAAUCGAUUCAGGAAGGUUUGUGGGUAGUCGAAUAUUUGUAAUCCCAUAAAAGAUGCGAUAAAAGAUUAAUCAUGGAAGGUUGUUAUACAAUUCAAAUAUGAAAGAAUAUAAUUCCUGAUUUAUUGGGAUUACGUUGAUAAUCUUUGGUUUUGAUCGCUAAUUUUAUGGGAUUACUAUUAAUCAAAAGGAAUCACGGUAUAGAUGGUGAACCCUAAUUGCUCCUGUGACAUUAAAUUACACAAUUAAAAUGAUGAUUUGGUUGCUGAAAUAUCAGGCAAUCAAAUCAAAAUAGAAAUAUAUGUUUUAGUUUGGGCCGGAAAAGAAAUUCUAGAAACGCAAGAGGUUGACACGUGUGAGUUAUAGGCUUUAGAAAGAUGCCAAGUGGACUUUUAGUAGUCAUUUAUUAGAAGAGGGAUUUCACCAGUUCAUUCGCUCACUACUAACAAGCAUUGGAACAUAAAUCAGAUUGCAUGACUAUAUAUGCACCAUUUUUCUUAAUGCAGGUCACUGAUGAACAUGAGCGCAGGUGGGCAAAUGUCAAAACCAUCAAAAGGAAGCAAAAAUUACGAUGAGGAACCCCUCCAACGAGCCCCUUACAAAAAACCACCAUUCACAAUUGGGGAUCUCAAGAAAGCAAUCCCACCGCAUUGUUUUAAUCGCUCCAUCCUUCGCUCUUUCAGUUACCUUUUAUACGACCUAACUAUCUCCUUCAUCUUGUACUACCUCGCCUCUCGUUACAUCCACCUCCUCCCCCACAACCUCUCCUAUUUACUCGAAAAGUGAACGUGAUCAGAUCAUUGUUUCGGAUGUUGGGGUCGUUGUUGUCACUUACCUCCUCUAUAAUCUAGUAAUGACCAACGGACUCACAUGUGUCUUCUUUAUGUAUGGCGUGCCUAUGCUCAUUCUCAACACUUCACUGAUUUGUGUCACAUACUUGCAUCACACGCACUCUUCGUUGCCCCACUAUGAUUCAACGGAUUGGGAUUGGCUGAGGGGAGCUCUUGCAACAGUCCAUAGAGAUUAUGGGAUCUUGAACAUAACAGGCCACAACAUCACUAAUACCCACGUCAUCCAUCAUUUAUUUCCAAAAAUACCUCAUUAUCAUGCAGCGGAGGCCACGAAAGCAAUCAAGCCCAUAUUGAAAGAUUAUGACAGGUUUGAUGAAACACCGAUUCUGAAAGCCUUGUACAGAGAAGCAAAAGAAUGCGUAUAUAUUAAAUCAGAUGAUAAUGAAGAGGCCAAGGGUGUCUUCUGGUUUGACAAUAAGUUUUAAUCACGGGAGAUUGUAUAAUUGUAUUUCCCAAAUAAGAAGUUGAAGCCUAUAUUGCUUAGUAAUUUUAGAUUUGUGUUCGUUUUCCAUGCAUCUAAAAUCGACUUUAGACUUUAGAUUAUAUAUAAUAAGAUGAAUAAUCUGUUACCACAUCCGGUAAUUGUUUGCUUAGGCUACAAGAAUAACUACCUAGGGCGACCACACCUAUCCCGACAAUUCUUGUCGUCGCUAUGCCGACGACUUUUUGUCCACAUAGAUUUUGCCAACUUUAACCAUAAAUGUUUGACCUGAAAAGUUAUGCCGACCACAUGUUGCUACUGAUUUGGCGGGACGAUGAAUUUUUUCGUUGUCUUCUGAAAACCUAUGCCGACGACAAGUCUUCGGUAUAGGUUAUGACAAAUCUAAUUUUGAUUUAUUUUUAUUCCAUGGUGCAAAAAAUAAAAACGACGUAGUUUUUUUAGAUGUUAUUCCGACGAUCCGUCAUCGGCAUGCCAUGUGGCGCUCCGCAUGAAAUAUCUAUGCCGAUAGCUUGUCGUUGGUACAACUUUUUAAUUUUUUUUGUUUCAACAAAAAAAAAAAAAAACGACGUCGUUUAUGUAAACCUUAUACCGACAACUUGUUGUCGACAUAGGGUUUCACCCAAAUAGAACUCAGUCCAUCGUUCAUUUGCACAGCGAAGAACGAACUUACAUUCUCUUUCGACGAAAAUUGCAAUUGGCCACUCCUUCACUGGCGACGAGCACCAGGUACACUCUUAGUCAACCUUUUUACUCCGAAUUUGUUCUUUGUUAGUGAUUGUCCAACCUUUUUAUGCCGAAUUUGGGGUUUUUUCUGGGUGGUAGUUUGACAGCCGUUCACCAGAGUCCACCCUUCACCACCAUCGGUCUUUCACCACCUUCGGCCUUCCCCACCGGUGACUUCACUCUCCUUCCAGCUUCUCUCCUUGACCGCAGCAGGUAAGAAUUUGGGGUUUAUUUCUCAUUUUUUGUCAUUUCUGAUUUUUUGUUUUUCCGGUGACCAUCACUCACCACCGGAGGACCACCAUCAAAUCUGACCACCGGAAUGCGGCCAUCACAACAAGACUAAAAAAACAUGUUAUUUAUUUAUUUUUUAAUUUUUUUUUCUGUUUUCGGAUUUUUUUUUGAAAUUGAAAUUGCAUGUAUAAGUUUAUAUGAAAUUGAAAUCGGUCCUUAUAUGAUUUUAUGAUUCUGUUACUUGUUUGGUUUUUGUAUGAUGUGUUAUUCGUUCAGGUUUAUUUGAAAAUGAAAUUGUAUUAUAUAAUAUGUUAAUUUACUUGCUUACGUUUAUAUGAAAUUGAAAUUGUGUAUUAAAUGUUAUAUGAAUUUGAAAUUGAUUAUGAAACACCCCAAAAAUCAUGACAUUUUUUUUAAAUCAUAAAUAAACCAUACUUAUCAAAUCAUCUCAUCCAAAAUGUAAGUCAUAGUAUCUCAAAACAUCACAUCCAAAAACAUAUGUCAAAAUACCAUAGUAAACAUCACAGACUAAAACAUUGUGGUGUGUGCAAUGAAGUCAUCCCGAGCUCUUCCCCUUGCUGUCGGAAGUAUCUGAAACCAAAACUGAAAACUGUAAGCACGAAGCUUAGUGAGUCUCCCAAACUACCACGUACCAUACACAUAAUCACAUAAUCACAUAAUAACAUAUCAUGGGCCUCGCCCGCUUCAUCGGGCCCCACCCGGCAUCAAGCAAAGCUUGGUAUGCAUAUAAACAUAUCAACAAAUACACAUAUAUAAUCACGUAACAUAAACAUAUAAACAUUCCUGGACCCCGCCCGGCAUCAAACCGAAAUCCAGAAGCAUACAAAUACAUAAACAUGUAAGAAUCAUGAAGACAUCAAGCAUACAAACAUUCCUUGGGCACCGCUCGACAUCGGAUCGGAAUCCAGAAGUAUACAAACAUUCAUCGGGAAACGCCUGACAUCGAACCUUAGUCCGGAACAUACUAACAUACAUAAACGGGAUGACAUUGGUGCCUUCGACCCGUUUCGACAUGAGGAAACUCACCUCGCAAAGCUAAAUGCAGAAUCUCAUGGUAAGGAAUCUCUAAUGGCUGCUCCAACGACUCCCCGAGCUAUCAUUAUCACAAUAACACUUAGUCAAAAACUAAUAAUCCUUCUUAGGGUAAAAUAACCAUUUUACCCCUGAUCUAAUUUGGACCAUAACCUAGGCCCAAUUCCAUAACAUCCGGGUCCAAUUCUAUAAAGCCUUUCCAAGCCCACUAAUGGCCCAAUUUUCUAAAUUGGGCCUACCUCCUCAAAUGGGCCUUCACUUAAGCCCAAACAUGUCCUUAGCCCAAUAACUGACUUCUGAUGACCCAUUAAGGUCUAAUAGCUAAGAAGUCUAAAGAUUGGCCCAAACCGAUGCCCAAAUGUCGAAGAAUCUGAAUCCAGUAAGUACGCGGGGCGUACUCCUCAAUACACUAAGCGUAUAGGUUGCAUGGCUUGUACGUUGCGCGUAUGGGCUUGUACACCUAACGUACUACCUUGUUAAGCCAUAAACUCCAAAAGGGCUUAAUCCCUUAAGACCUUAAGCUCUAAACACAAAUCUGAGUCCAUUAUAGUGUCUUAAUCCAUAAAGUCGAUUACUUGGUGGCUUGCAACCCACCAAUGGACCAAAACUUGAAAUAUGGCAACUAACUUCCAUGGAAAUGACCAAAACUCAUGCAUGGCCACAAGAAGACCUUCAAGAUGGAAACUUUUCUAUUCUUGGGACUCAUAUAACGCUAAGGGUGGAAACCCUAAGCCUAGAAAUGGAUUUGACCAUAAAAAUCCAUUCUUAGGACCAAAUAGGUCCAAAACACCAUUAUCAUAGAACUAAGCAUACAUGAGACAAGUUGUGAGCUUUUUACCUCAAAUGAGUGCUAAAUGGUGAUGAUAUCUCAGAUCCUUGAGCUCAAGCUACUCAAGUUCUUAUUGUUCAACUUCUUCUUUCUCCUUCAAAGCUCCAAAUCACCAAAAUGGGCUUCAUAAGACCAAAAUCACACAAAGAUGAAGAAUGUAAGGUUUCUAGGGUUUCUGAGUCAAGGUGGCUGGUAAGGAGGCUAGGGCUUGGGACAUAAUGUGAUAUUUAUAUUGCUUAAACCCUAAAAAUUAUGGUUUUGAGUCUGCUCGCGUACGUUGCGCGUACUCCUUGGUACGUUGUGGGUACGCGUAUCAACCCCUACAUCCAAUGCCUUCACUACGCCCCGCGUACGCCAAGCUUACACCCAGUGUACGUCUUUAGUCAGCCUAAUAUACAACAGCCCACUGACUAAGGCCCGACUCAACAAUCCAAUAUUAAUCUCAUAGUCCAACAAUUAUAAGGAAAUUAAAUAAUUAUCAUUACCUCAAGUCACGAGUGUUACAGUUUAGGUAUAUAUGAAAUUGAAAUUAUAUGUAUAAAAUGUUAAUUUAAUUGCUUAGGUUUAUAUGAUAUUGAAAUUGAAUGUAUAAAAUGUGAAAUAUGUAUGAUUGUGUUGCUUGUUUAGGAUGAUAUGAAAUUGUAUGAACAAAAUGUAAAUAUGUAUGCUUGUGUUACUUGUUCAACUUUAUUGGUUUGAGUGCAUGAAGUGAUAAAGUGCUUACUAGCUAAGUUAAAUGUUUGUCUUUAAAUUCAUGAUAAGUGCUUAGUGAUACGUUAAAGUUUUUGUAUUUAAUUAGGUAAUAUGAUUGUUUAAAGUACAAUGUUAUAAUUGAAAAAAAAUAUAUUGUUAUAAUAGAAAAAAAAAUUAUAUAUAAAGUACGAUGCUAUAAUUGAAAAAAAACAAAAAUAAGAUGCUAAAAUACAAUAAAUAUAAAAAAGAAGUGAAAUAGAAUGCUUUUAAUAGACGAACUAAUUACAUUGCUAUUAAAGAAAACCUAACUAAAAAUGUUAUUAAAAGCAACAUACUUUAUUAGUUUGUUUAUUAAAGCAUUCUCUUUGAUAGUUAUAAUAGAAAACAGAAUAAUAAAUCUACAUUGCUAUUAAAAGUAUGAUGCUAUAAUAAAAAACAAAUUAAUAUUUAAAGUACAAUGCUAUAAUUGGAAAAAAAUAAGACGGUGUAUAUACUAUAAAUAUGAAAAAGAAGUGAAAAUGGAAUGCUAUAAACAAACUAAUAAAAGUACGUGGAUAUGGAAGAUAAUUUAACUACACAUGUUAUUAAUAGCAACGUACCUUUAUUCGUUUGUUUAUUAAAUCAUUCUAUUUUCAUUUCUUUUUUAUAGUUUUAACAGAAAAAUAAAUAAUAAAAGUACAUUAAAUCAUUGAUUUUUAGUUUAUGUCUCUUCUUUAUAAUCAUCAAGAGCCUAGAAAUACCCGUCCAAAGUUGCUUUAGAAAUUAAUUUCGGGUCGUCCCCAUUUUGGGACUGCUUUUUAAAUAUUUUAUCUCAUUUAGGAUGUAAAUUUGUAUUGUAUGAUUGUUUGUUCAAGAAAAAAUUGGUUGUCAUUAUCUCCUUGCUCCUUGUGUAUAUAUUCAUUUAUAUACUUGGGGGCUAAGGGGAAAUGUUGCCGAUUUUUUCUCAAACAAACAAUCAUGCAAUACACAUUCACAUAUGAAAUAAGGUAUUCAAAAAGUGGGUUUAGAAGUCCACCUUUGUGAAUACUUUAUCAAUUACAUUUAAUUUUUACUUCUCGGAUAUAUAUUUAUUUAUAUACUUAUGAAUACUCCAUCCAUUUCGUCUGAUUUUUUCUCAAAAAAAGAAACAGUCAUGCAAUACACAUUUACAUAUAGCCACAAUACAAUUUAACUUUCAAUAACUAUGUGUACAAUGUAAUUUUUAAUAAUGAAACAAUAAUUACGAUCGAUAAGAGUUGGAUUUGUGAAAACCAAACGUCCCCAAAUUUAUUGGAAGGUCUUAAAAACUUAUGGAGAUUUCUGUGAAUCAUGUCGACUCAGAAGACAAAGUGUGUUGUCUGUGCAUAAAGUGUGUGAAUAUGUAUCGACAUAUGCGAAGUAUGGUUUAUGCCCACAUAUAUGACUGUGGGUUUCUAAAAUCAUAUACUAUAUGUCAUCAUCACGGUGAGAUAUGUCAUGUUUCAGAUUUGGGCAACAAUUCGACUCUAGUAAACACUCCAAUAACUAAUGAGAUGUUUGAAGUAAUUGAUGAUGUUAUGGCAGGACAAAAUACAAAUUAAGAAAAUACAGAUGAGUAAGGACGAGGUAUGGACCCAAAAUUUGAUGUUUUGUUUAAGGAGCUCAAUACCGAGUUAUACCCUGAUUGUGAGAUUUCAUCCCUAAAAUUUAUGGAAAAGUUGUUGCAUAUUAAAGUGAUCAAUAAAUGGAUAUAUAGAUCGUUUGAAUAACUUUUAGAGUUAUUAAUAUUUGCUCUCCCAAAGAGAGAUUCGAACUUCACACUAUGAAGCUAAGAAAAAGUUGAGAAAGAUAUGGUUAGUGUAACGACCCAAUUUUCACGACCAAAAAUUUCAUUUUUAAAUCAAUACUUUGGAAAACAUUUGUGAAUAAACAUCAUUUGAUCCCAUCAUUUCAUAAACAUAUUUCGUUUCUGAAAUCCAAAACAUAAAAACAACCAAAAUGUCAGAGUACAAAUCCUAGAAUAACUCAUGGUGCGGAAAACAAUGUACGUGUAUGAUGUGUCGCAACCGUGCCAGCUCUUUCCCCUUCGAAGAAGAGGUACCUGAAACUGAAAUUGUAAACUGUAAGCACGAAGAUUAGUGAGUUCCCCCAUAAUACCACAUACCAUACAAUCACAUAAUGAAUAGCUAGGAGAUACGGGCCUCGCCCACGCUCCGCUAGCUGGGAGAUACGGGCCUCGCCCACACUCAGCUACUAAACCAUAAUUAACAAGUAUCACACAGACAACGAGUAUAAACAAUUCUACCACACUAGCAUAUAUCAUCAUCAAAGUCAACUAUUAGAUACAGGCUCUGCCCACACUCUGAUACUAUCAUAUCGUUUAUACGGGUCGGCCUUGGUGCCCUAGAGCCAUUCCUACUAGAAGGAAACUCACCUCAAAAAGUAGCUGCUGAAAGUCUGCUUGCUAGACGUCUGACUGCUGCACCGGUAAUCCUCCGACUAUAAAUCCAUAACAUAGAUUACUCACUCAUAAAUACCCUUAGGUCAAAUGACUGACCUACCCCUGGUCCAAGGUCAACUCCUUGGUUAAAGUCAAUUUCCAGUUGACUGGACACGCUGAGUCAUGGCACAGACUCAUCGAGUCCCUCUCCUAUUAACCCAAUACUAACUCAUCAAGUCCCUCUUCCACUCAGUGAGUCACCCAUAACUCACUAAUUGGGACAAUUGGACCGACUUGCGAUCCGACUUUCCGAGUCUAAAAACAACUCGCCGAGUCCCUCGAGCAGAUCUCCUACUCGAUUCCAAAUCCUCACCAGAGCAUCCAUCUUGAGGAUUUGGGUUUCUGGGACAAUUGCUACACGUUAAAUUGCUAAUUCCGCGUGCAGCUACGAAGGGUUGGACCUUCUACACUUAAAACCGUCUUAACUCAGUAACAGUUCAUAUGACUCGUGCUAGGUCCAUUUUAGUGUUGCGUCUUUGGGCUCGUUAGCUAGUCCAAGUUUUGUCUCCGGUAUGGGCCUAUCCAUCCGUGAGUUUCGUAUAGGGUUUAUUAUAUAUAGAUGCUUGCAUGCAUUCUUGAAAGGAAUGUUUUGAUAGAGAUUUGAUAGCGUAAAAGUUCUUAUCAUUUGUAACCCUAGAAUUCUAUACAGCGGAAGUUCUUCAUCGAGCUCUGCUGAGAAUUGAGUUAAUCAAAUCAUUCGAAUCAUUUAGAUCUAUACUUUAGUUUUUGUUUAACUGUUAUUACUUUCUUUAUUCGCCUAUUUUAAAGAUCUAAUCGAUCAAAGAGUUUUAUAAACUCAUCAAUUGGUAUCAAAGCAGGAGGCUGUGUAAUUCAUACACAUCUCUUUUGUGAAACAAGUGAUUAGGGUUAUUCCGCAUUAACUGAUAUUUAUUGAGCCGUCACUCCAUAAUUGACGUAUCUCUUUAUUUAUUCGUUUGCCCUAAUGUUACAUAUUACAAGUCUGAUCUUUCAAACAGGUUAAACGAUAUAGCAUGGACGAUUCUCAAUCUAAUCCUAUCAACAUCUCAAACAGUAUUGGAUCAACGACGAAGAUUCCUAUUCUAUACACCCAGGAUUACGAAGUUUGGGCUCAUCAUUUUGAAGACUAUGUCAUCGGAUCUGAAGAUAAUGGGUAUCUUAUUUGGGAAGCCAUUGUGUCUGGACCAUUUGCUCACUCAAGAACAUCCAAGAUCAUUAAAACUCAGAAAGAAUAUAAUGAUCUGUCAAAAGAUGUAAAAGACGUUGCUCAAGAUGAAAAGGAGAAGUUUGAGUGCAACAUCAAAGCAUUGAGACUGAUCCGAUUCGCUCUUCAAUCUGAAACGUUUAGGUUGGUGAGUUCCUGCAGUACCGCUAAAGAAAUCUGGGAUAGGUUGCGAGAGCUAUAUUCCACAGAUGAAGAUUUGGAGCACUUUAUUCAGACUUUGCUUUUGUCUGAGUUUGGAGAAUUUAAGAAAAAUUAUGAUGAGACCGUCACUCAGACGUUUGAUCGCUUCAAUCAUCUUCUUAGCAAGAUGAUCAAACAUGAUAUCAAAAGGAAGCUGAUUGAACAAAAGGUCACCUUUUUGAAUGGCUUAAGAUCUGAAUGGAGAGCUGUUGUGUCUACAGUUAAAGCUCAUGAGCAGUUCAAGUCAUAUUCAUUGGCUAAACUGGUGGGAAUUCUAAAAUCCCAAGAAAAGAUUGUGAUGCAAGAAAAGAAUGUGGUCUCAAGUUUGGGGGUCCUUGGCACUCCUAUCCAAAAGCAAGAAUGUAGUAGAAGAUGAAGAUCUGAACCUGGAGGACUACGAUCUUAGUUCAGAAGAUUAUGCUAUGAUGGUGUCCAAUCCAAAAAGGUUAAUCAAGAAGAGGUUUCCUACCACUAAAAACCGAAAUUGGCAAGGAAGCUACAGUUCAGAAAAGGUAAGGGAGGAGCUGAAGACUGAGGAACCAAAGAAGGAAGCGAAGGUUGAAGGAGAUUCUGGUGUCAACUGCUACUACUGUGGAGGAAAGAACCAUUAUGCCAAAGAUUGUGUUCUGAAGAAAAUGGCAGAGAAGGAUGAGGAGAAAGAUGAAGAAGCAAUCUUGAUGAAAAAGCUGGAAGAGAUCAAGAGAAAGACAGCUACUACUAACCCUUCUAUGAAUGCUCUUAUUGUACAGGGUUCGGCAGAGGAUGACGAGUUCGGUGGUGUGCUGGUGUGGUCAACCGACUCAGAAGAUGAUGAGGUGAGAAAGUCUUCGCAUGGAAAGGUGUAUGUGGCAAGAGGUGGUGAAAGCGGCGGAAAGUGUUUGAUGCUGACUAACGUAUCUCACAUGAGGGGAUACAAUACAGAUGGUGGAAAUAAGGACACCAAGGAGCGAGAGGACUUAUGCUUCACAGCAAAACCUCUCAAUGUGCAGAUCAAUGAGCUUGAUGAAUUGAUCAAGAAGGUACAAUCUCUUUUUAUCUCGUUCAAAUUUCCACAGAAAUCAUAUGAAAAGGAAUUAAAUAACCUAAAUUCAAGAAUCUCAAAUCUGGAUAGUUGUUUAACUCAAACACAGGUCACCAAUUCUAACCUAACUGACCAAAUAACCAGGGUGUCAUCCAAGAGUGAGGAGCGAAGGAUGUGGAUUGAGCAGAAGGAGUCAGAGCUGAUUAAGUCUAAAGAUGAAAACAUUUAUUUACAAAGAGACAAUUUGAAACUUUUAAAACAAAGAAAUGUUUUUUGUUUGAUUGCUAAAAGUCUUUAUGCUAACAUUACUCAACUGCAUCUGAAUUGUGAAAUAGGGCAGAAAAUACAUCGCAUGAUUUUACCCUUCCUUGAGUUUAAGGAGGAUGAAAUCGAUGCUGAAGCAUACAACUGUGAAAGUGUUGUAUCGUCUGAUGAUGUGUGUAACACCGUAAAUUUUCAAAAUAAUUUUCCAUUUCCAAAAUCACAUAAUGUGUCACGUCACAAUCAAAAUCCAUAAUCAAUUCUGUUUUCAAAAACAAAUCCCAAGAUCUCUACAUAUGAAAAUCUCCAUCAGUGUGUUUGUACGUGUCAAGCCGUCGCCUGCCCACGGUCCUCGCUGGUACCUGAGUCAUCAAACAUAACAACUGUAAGCAUAAAUGCUUAGUGAGUUCCCCCAAAAUACCACAUACUACAAAUACGCCACUCGAGGCUAACCCGACCCUCCGGUCAAGAUGUCUCAGCGGGACCUUCCAGUCCCGCAGCUCGUCGGACCCUCUGGUCCAGUCAUAGCUCAUUGGGCCCUCUGGCCCGAUCUGAAUCGUUGGACCCUCCGGUUCGGUCUAUAUAAUCAUACAACAUACAAUAACACAUAGCAUACAAUCUCAUAAAUAGCACAUAAUCUCAUACAUAACACAUAAGACCCUCUGGUUAACUCAUAAUACCACUCAAGGUAACGUAUAGUGAGAAGACUCACCUCGCGUGUCUCGGUAACUCGUAAAGCUCUCAACCACUAGUGCUCGAUCUCCCGAGCUAUCGCCUUCCGACAACAAAGGUGUCUCUUUACUUAAUACUACUUGACUCUGACUGACUAAUACUACUAAGUCAAACCAGUCAACGGUCAACGGUCAACAGUCAACCCGACUCGCCGAGUCCCUACAGGAACCCGAUUCCCUCUGGAUCUCUUCCAACUCACCGAGUCACUCACCCGACUCGGUUACACAGUCCCUGGUCCGAAGUCUCUGAACAACCCGCACCAACUCGCCGAGUCUAGGAUUGGACUCGGCGAGUGCACUCCAUGCACAACCUCAAACGACCUUCUAAGGUCAGAUCCACUCUAGUAACUCAUAGAUCCAGUCCCCUUAAGCUUAUUAACCACGUAAAGUCCGAGUCUUGGCGCUCAAUAAGCAUCAUAUAGCUCAUUAAUGGAGGUUUAGCCUCAAAUACAUAGAUCCCAAUCUAAAACCUCCAUGGAUGCACAUAAAGCUUGGGCAAGGAGGUGCUCUGGACCUCUAUGGGUCUAGAUUCAGAGCCAAAACUCGCCAAGGGCCCAUAAUGAUGCUAGAUCUAGCCACAAAUGGGUUCAAAAACCCUAAAUCUAUAUGAACAUCACAAUAACAAAGAAGGAUUCGAAUGUUACCUCAGAUGUGAUGUCCUGGACCUUAGCUCUUCAAGAAUCCACCCCUCUCUUGCUUCCUCUUGGCUAGAUCUUCUCUUCCUUUGCUAGACAAUAACUCCAAGAAUCAACAAUGGCUUCUUCCCUCACUUGAAUCACUCAAAUGAUCUAGGGUUUCACUCUGGGGGCUAAUGAGCGCAAAUGACGGCCAUAAGGCCCUUUAAAUAGGCCGCAAACCCGAGAAAUUAGGGUUUCAUUAAACGUCGCAGACUUGCCGAGUCCACUAAGGCGACUCGCCGAGUCCGAGCAUCAGUCCGGAUGAGAAGCCGCGUCUUAACUCGGCGAGUCUACGCAACAACUCGCCGAGUCCCUUCUCAAAACUAAAAAUAAAAAGAUUUGUUAAUAUACCUGAAAUCCCGGAUGUUACAAUUCUCCCCCACUAGAAUCUGACUUCGCCCUCGAAGUCUCAUUCCUGAAAUAACUCUGGAUGCUGCUCCCGCAUCUCCCGCUCCGGUUCCCAGGUCAACUCGGAUCCCUUCCGAUGUUGCCACUGAACCUGUACCAGAGGCACUUCCUUGUUCCUCAGAACCUUGAUCUUUCGAUCCACAAUCGCAACUGGUCUCUCUGCGUAGUUCAGGCUCGCAUCCACCUGAAUAUCCUCCAACGGCACCACUGCCGACUCGUCGGCAAUACAUUUCCUCAACUGCGAGACAUGAAAGGUAUCAUGGAUCUGCCCCAACUCAGCAGGUAGGUCCAACCGGUAGGCUACCCUGCCUACCCUAGCAAUUACCCUGAAGGGUCCAAUGUACCGGGGUCCCAACUUGCCCCUCUUCCUGAAUCGUAUCACUCCUUUCCAAGGAGAGACCUUUAGGAGCACAAGAUCACCGACCUGAAACUCGAGCUCGGACCGACGCCUGUCCGCAUAACUCUUCUGGCGACUCUGCGCGGUCAACAACCUCUGCCUGACCUGCUGAAUCUGCUCGGUCGUCUGGAGUACAAUCUCCGUGCUACCCAUCACCCGCUGCCCCACCUCUCCCCAGCAGAUGGGGGUGCGACACCUCCGCCCAUACAACAGCUCAAAGGGUGGCAUACCAAUGCUCGAAUGAUGGCUGUUGUUAUACGAAAACUCUGCUAAAGGUAGGUAGGUGUCCCAGCUCCCUCCAAAAUCCAGAACACAUGCUCGGAGCAUAUCCUCAAGCAUUUGAAUCGUUCGCUCGCUCUGUCCGUCCGUCUGCGGGUGGUAUGCGGUACUGAAAUGCAAUCUCGUACCCAACUCCUCAUGAAACUUCUUCCAAAACCUGGAAGUAAAACGCACAUCUCGGUCUGAGACAAUCGACAUCGGAACCCCAUGUCGCGAUACCACCUCUCUCUCAUACAAUUCUGCUAAUUUCUCCGCAGAAGAACUCUCGCUGAUGGCUAGAAAAUGAGCGCUCUUCGUCAAUCUAUCCACAAUCACCCAAAUCGCAUCAACUCCUCUCGCAGUCCUUGGCAAUUUGGUGAUAAAAUCCAUGGUAAUCUGUUCCCACUUCCACUCGGGAAUCUCCAACGGUUGCAGCUUACCAUGCGGACGCUGGUGCUCGGCCUUAACUUGGCGACAAGUUAGGCACCUCUCGACGAACCAAGCAACAUCCCUCUUCAUACAGGGCCACCAAUACUCCUUCUUUAGGUCCAAAUACAUCUUGGUAGCCCCAGGAUGGAUCGAGAACUUCGAUCGAUGUGCCUCCUCCAUCAAAAUCGUACGCGUACCGCCCACAAACGGUACCCAAAUCCGACCCUGAAACGUCAUAAGUCCCUGACCAUCGGUAACGAAUUUCGAUACUUGACCAACCACCCGCUCCCUUUUUUGAUUUUCUGAUCUCGCAGCCUCAGCCUGAGCCCCUCGGAUGGUGUCCAAAAUCAGAGUUGUCACCGUCAACCUCAAACAGAUUUCUUGCAAUGGGGCACUCUCUGCCCUACGACUCAGGGCGUUGGCUACCACAUUAGCCUUGCCCAGGUGGUACAGGAUCUGGCAAUCAUAAUCCUUUACCACAUCCAACCAUCUCCUCUGCCGCAUAUUCAGAUUUGGCUGAUCCAUCAGGUACUUCAAACUCUUGUGGUCCGUGUAUAUCGUACACCGAACCCAAUACAGAUAGUGACGCCAGAUCUUGAGGGCGAACACCACAGCCCCCAACUCCAGAUCGUGGGUGGGAUAUCUUGUCUCAUGAGGCUUUAACUGCCUCGAUGCAUACGCGAUCAGAUGCCCUCUCUGCAUCAAAACCGCUCCCAACCCCGAUAUCGAUGCAUCACAAUACACUACAAAAUCCACCAUCCCUUCAGGCAAUGCAAGCACGGGAGCUUCGCACAAUCUCUGGCGAAGAGUCUCAAAUGAGGUCUGCUGCUCCGAACUCCAUGAGAAAGUAACACCCUUCCGGGUUAACUUGGUAAGUGGCACAACAAUUUUGGAGAAGUCCCUGAUAAAUCUCCGAUAGUAGCCUGCCAGCCCCAAGAAACUCCGGAUCUCUGCAGGUGACCUCGGCACUUCCCAACUCAUCACAGCCUCGAUCUUGGCCGGGUCAACCAAUAUCCCAUUCUGGUUAACAAGAUGCCCUAAGAACUGGCCCUCCCGUAACCAAAAAUCACACUUGGAGAAUUUGGCGAAUAGCCUCUCCGACCUCAGAACCCCGAGGAACUCCCUCAAAUGCUCCUCAUGCUGCUCUCUGGUCCUCGAAUGCACCAAGAUAUCAUCAAUGAAUACAAUGACUGAACGAUCCAACAUCGGCCUACACACCCUGUUCAUGAGAUCCAUGAAUGUCGCUGGUGCAUUGGUGAGCCCGAAUGGCAUCACCACGAACUUGUAAUGCCCGUAACGAGUCCUAAACGCCGUCUUCUGGAUAUCCUCAUCCCGAACUCUCAUCUGGUGAUAUCCCGAUCUCAAGUCAAUCUUGGAGAACCAAGACGCCCCCUGCAACUGAUCGAAUAGAUCGUCGAUCCUCGGCAACGGAUAACGGUUCUUGACCGUCAACUUGUUCAACUCCCGGUAAUCAAUGCACAUCCGGUGUGAACCAUCCUUUUUCUUGACAAAAAGGAUCGGCGCUCCCCAGGGAGAGCUACUGGGACGGAUGAACCCUUUCCCCAACAGCUCUUGCAGCUGUGACGAUAACUCCUGCAUCUCUGGCGGCCCCAGCCGAUAUGGCGCCUUAGCGAUAGGCGCAGCCCCGGGAAUCAAAUCGAUACGAAACUCCACUUGCCUCUCGGGAGGUACGCCCGGCAACUCCUCGGGGAACAUGUCCCGGAACUCACGCACUAUCGGUACAUCGUCCACUGAAAUUGGCCUCCUAACGGCCUCUCGUACAUCCGUCACAUAGGCCACGAAUCCCUUGCAGCCCUGCUGCAAACUCCGCCUUGCUCUGGCAGCCGAACAGAAUACAGAACCACCACGAGUCCCCUCGCCAUAAACUGUCAGCACUCCCCUACUAGGAUCUCGGAUCGUCACCAACUGACGCUCGCAAUCUAUGAUAGCCCCGAAACGGCUCAACCAAUCCAUGCCUACUAUGACACAUACAUCCCCCAUAGCAAUCGGAAUCAAAUCAAUCGGGAACUCCACCCCGAAGAUCUCCAGCACGCAUCCACGUAUCACCUCGGUAGCACAUACCUCACGCUCAUCUGCUAUGGAAACCCGCAGAGGUCGACUCAACGCCUCUCUCGGAAUACUAAUGCGCCGACUAAAAGCUAAAGAUAUGAAAGACCGACUCGCACCCGAGUCGAAUAAAACCAAUGCAGGUACAGAACUCACAAGAAAAGUACCUACGCAUAACAUAUAGCAAUUACAAUAGCAUAAACUCAACAUAAAAUAGAUAAAGAUUACAUACCCGCCACGACGUCAGGUGCUGCGCGGACCUCCUCCGCAGUCAGCUGGAAGGCUCUCCCUCUAGCCUUCGGUGCUUCGACCUUCACUAGUCGGGUCUCGGUAGCUCGAACCAUAGGUGCAGAUCUCUGAAGCUGGGGGCACUCGGCCUUCCGAUGGCCGGUCUAGUUGCAAUGGAAGCAAACCGAGAACCCCUUCGGACAGUCCCUCGCAAAAUGUCCUUCCUUCCCGCAUUUGUAGCAUACCCCAGUCUUGCACGGCCCGUCAUGGCUCUUGCCGCACUUCCCACAAGUGCGGCCCCUCGAACUGCCUGUCCUCGAAUCAGCGGGCUUUGCCCGCUUGGCGGCCGGCUGCGACUGUGUCGGUCGCCGAUCACCCUUCCGCAACUCAGUCUUCUCCCUCGCCUGUGUCUCAAGCUCGAUCUCCCUCUUCUUGGCAUUUUCCUGGAGCUCGGCAAAUGUCCGAUAAUUCGAGUUCACCACGAACUCACAGAUGUCCCUCCUCAAGAUGCUCAGAUAACGGCUCAUGCGAGCCUGCUCAGUGGACACCAACUCCGGGCAAAACAGCGCCCGCUCAUGAAACAUCCUCGUAAUCACUGUCACCGACUCGGUCCCCUGCUUGAGGGUCAGAAACUCCUGAGCUAAACGUUCCCUCUCCACCUGGGGAACAUACUCGUCACGAAACAUCGCAGUAAACCUCUCCCAGGUCACUGCAGUCAGCUCAGCUGUAGAAUAGCUCGCGGUCACAAAUUUCCACCAGUCCUUCGCCCCCAAGCGAAGCUGAUUGAGUGUGAAUCGCACCCUCAAGUGCUCCAGACAUGAGCACGUAUAGAAACACCCCUUUAUGUCUGAGAUCCACCUCAUAGCGGCGAUCGGAUCCUGUGUACCAUCGAACUCCGGUGGUUUCGUGUUGCUGAACUCUCGGUACAACAACGAAUCACCACCCUGGGGUCUCGCAGCAGCAACAGCUGCGGUGGCUGCAGCAACAGCAGCAUCAGUCAAAGCAGCGUAACGCUCGUCAAACGUCUCGAUCAGUGUGGUCUUAAUAGACCCAAACAUCUCCGGAAUCUCGGCUCUGAUGGCAGCAGCCACCUCCUCAUGGAUGAUCCGACGGAUCUCCUCAUCGCUCACCCCACUGCUCUCGGGGUUAUGGCGUGUCCCGACCAUGAUCAACCUCUGAAAUACAACAUAAGAAAUAUCAGGAAUACUCUCGAGUAUACUCACACUCGAUAACUCAAACAUCCUCUCUCCUGGUACUCCCAAGGAUUCUUACUUGGACUGCGCACCAAUCCGGUGUCUUCAAUAGUACGGGCCCAAUACUAUCGUCCACACCGAAUCGAUAUACAACCCAAGUCCUCCUCCUAGGAUCCCAAAUCGCAAAUACUCUACUCUCGCUAUGCACUGGCUACCCUCAAUAGCCCUCUCCUGAGCUCCUCACUGCUACCUACUCACUCUCAAAGUAUCUCAUAGCAGCAGCGAUCUCCUAAGCUAAGGCAUCACAAAUCAGGCCCACUCUAGUCCUAAUAGGAAUACCUAGCCUCUCUAACAUGCACAACAUAAUAUCUCAUAACUCAUAACAUAUAAUGUAAGGGUAUUUUGGGGAUUCACCGUUCGGGCGCUGGCUGACCGUACACACCUUCCACUCUGCUCGUUUCCCAAAACCUCUUUUUCUUUUUAGAAAAUUUUAGUUUUAUUUGAAAAUUUCUCAAAUCCUCGGUUUGAGUUCAAAUACGCCCGAAGGUGCAUCCGAAUCCCUCAAACCAAGGCUCUGAUACCAACUUGUAACACCGUAAAUUUUCAAAAUAAUUUUUCUUUUCCAAAAUCACAUAAUGUAUCACAUCACAAAUCAAAAUCCAUAAUCAAUUCUGUUUUCAAAAACAAAUCCCAAGAUCUCUGAUAUAAAAAUCUCCAUCAGUGUGUGUGUACGUGUCAAGCCGUCGCCUUCCCACGGUCCUCGCUGGUACCUGAGACAUCAAACAUAACAACUGUAAGCAUAAAUGCUUAGUGAGUUCCCCAAAAUACCACAUACUACAAAUACGCCACUCGAGGCUAACCCGACCCUCUGGUCAAGAUGUCUCAGCGGGACCUUCCAGUCCCGCAGCUCGUCGGACCCUCUGGUCCAGUCAUAGCUCAUUGGGCCCUCUGGCCCGAUCUGAAUCGUUGGACCCUCCGGUCCGGUCUGUAUAAUCAUACAGCAUACAAUAACACAUAGCAUACAAUCUCAUAAAUAGCACAUAAUCUCAUACAUAACACAUAAGACCCUCUGGUCAACUCAUAAUACCACUCAAGAUAACGUAUAGUGAGAAGACUCACCUCGCGUGUCUCGGUAACUCGUAAAGCUCUCAACCACUAGUGCUCGAUCUCCCGAGCUAUCGCCCUCCUACAACACAGGUGUCUCUUUACUUAAUACUACUUGACUCUGACUGACUAAUACUACUAAGUCAAACCAGUCAACACUGGUCAACGGUCAACGGUCAACAGUCAACCCGACUCGCUGAGUCCCUACAGGAACCCGAUUCCCUAUGGAUCUCUUCCAAGUCACCGAGUCACUCACCCGACUCGGUUACACAGUCCCUGGUCCGAAGUCUCUGAACAACCCGCACCAACUCGCCGAGUCUGGGAUUGGACUCGGCGAGUGCACUCCAUGCACAACCUCAAACGACCUUCUAAGGUCAGAUCCACUCUAGUAACUCAUAGAUCCAGUCCCCUUAAGCUUAUUGACCACGUAAAGUCCGAGUCUUGGUGCUCAUUAAGCAUCAAAUAGCUCAUUAAUGGAGGNGACUCGGCGAGUGCACUCCAUGCACAACCUCAAACGACCUUCUAAGGUCAGAUCCACUCUAGUAAGUCAUAGAUCCGGUCCCCUUAAGCUUAUUAACCACGUAAAGUUCGAGUCUUGGCGCUCAAUAAGCAUCAUAUAGCUCAUUAAUGGAGGUUUAGCCUCAAAUACAUAGAUCCCAAUCUAAAACAUCCAUGGAUGCACAUAAAGCUUGGGCAAGGAGGUGCUCUGGACCUCUAUGGGUCUAGAUUCAGAGCCAAAACUCGCCAAGGGACCAUAAUGAUGCUAGAUCUAGCCACAAAUGGGUUCAAAAACCCUAAAUCUAUAUGAACAUCACAAUAACAAAGAAGGAUUCGAAUGGUACCUCAGAUGUGAUGUCCUGGACCUUAGCUCUUCAAGAAUCCACCCCUCUCUUGCUUCCUCUUGGCUAGAUCUUCUCUUCCCUUGCUAGACAAUAACUCCAAGAAUCAACAAUGGCUUCUUCCCUCACUUGAAUCACUCAAAUGAUCUAGGGUUUCACUCUGGGGACUAAUGAGCGCAAAUGACGGCCAUAAGGCCCUUUAAAUAGGCCGCAAACCCGAGAAAUUAGGGUUUCAUUAAACGUCGCAGACUCGCCGAGUCCACUAAAGCGACUCGCCGAGUCCGAGCAUCAAUCCGGAUGAGAACCCGCGUCUUAACUCGGCGAGUCUACGCACCAACUCGCCGAGUCCCUUCUCAAAACUCAAAAUAAAAAGAUUAGUUAAUAUACCUGAAAUCCCAGAUGUUACAAUGUGAAUCCCACUUACAUGUACGGUCUGGACAAAAUAGAAUCUUUCAUAAAGUCCAAAGACCAUAAGGACAUGCUGAAAAAUCUUUUGGAUGAAAACGAUAAGCUGAAACUAAGGACCGAAACCAUAAAAAAAUUCGACUCAUUGAGUGCUAAUUUAAGUGCAGAAAAUAGAAUUGAUGUUGAAAAUGCAUCUGAACUUAAUGUGGACGAUGAUAUGAGUUAAAUUUAUGUAGAGGAUGUUGUGGACUGUUCUGAGUUUGUCAAGAGCGAACCCGAAAACCACAAAAAUCUGAUUUCUGAAAAUUCUGUGGAGUUCGCUCGUUUGUCCCAAAAUAAAUCCCCGAUUCUUGAAGAAAAGGCUGUUGUGUACCAAAAGGUGAGAACAACACCAAAUUAGGUGUAUAAGGUCACAGGAGUAACCGAGCAUCAAACAGCCGAACUCACUGCCAUAGUGAAUGAAGAUAAUGCAGAUGGCUGUGAUGAGUUCUUCUGGUCUGCUCCUAUAGAUAAUGCCGACGAAACAGUUGGUUUGUCAUAGCGAACGUCCUGGAAAACAAAAGGAAUAUAUGUACUAGAGCCGCUGAACAAGCCUGACAACUUUGACGUGCCAAGCACAAGUGGUACAAAAGAAAUACCUGUAGAAGAAGUCCCCUCCACAAGCAAAACCUCAUCUACGAAGAGCGAACCGGCUGUCAAGAAGUUAAAGCAAAAGGCUAAUAUCCAAAGACAGCCGAAACAGGUGAGAAAUCAAAAGCAGCAAAGAAACCUGAGAUACAAAAAGAAUCUCUCUGAGCGAAAGCAGUUUUGGCGUUCUCAAAACAAUCAUUUCUCUUAUCAUGAUAGAAAUUCAAAGUCAGAGAAAUAGACUUUCGGGCCACAUGAGGAAUAGAACCGAAAGGUUAGGUUCGGUCCUGAGAGCAACAUCAACCGAAAGGAUAGGUUCGGUCAUGAAGGAACAAGCUACCGAAGGUCCAGGUUCGGUCCCCUCAAUGACCAAAAACAAAAGGGUCAUAUCGAACCGCAAGUCAGAAGAAAUUCCCAUUCUAAUUCUUCUAAUUCUCAAUUCUCUUCUAAACCCAAUUCUGUUCAUGCACAAAAUUCUAAAUCGUCAACGAACCUGAAAGGAAAAUCGAAGAUUUCCUCUGUCCAGGAAGACCGAAAGCAGUCUAAAGCCCAAACACCAAAACCUGAAACCAAACCCACUGUUGCUAAUCCUAACAAAAUCAAAGUGUUUACCAUUAAAAGAAAAGAUGAAACAACAUUAAUAAAAAGAAAAUAUCUUGUUGAUGUUUCUCUUACUGUUCUUGUUCCUGUGAAAGGCUCACGUGGACCCAAGAAACUUUGGGUUCCUAAAUCUGCUUAAUUUUUGCAGGUUAUAAGUGACGAUCAGUUCGACGAAGAAUGGUACAUUGACAGUGGCUGCUUACGCCACAUGACAGGAAGGAAGGAAGAGCUAAGGGAGUUUCGAUCUCUUCAGAAUGGUGGGAAUGUCAAGUUCGGCAACAACUCCUAUGGAACGAUAAAAGGUUAUGGUAUGAUAACCAAUGGAGACUUCACAAUAAGGAAGGUGGCGUGCGUUGAAGGGCUACACCAUAAUCUCAUCAGUGUGUCUCAACUGGUGGGAGGUACCGGUCUCAAGGUUUCAUUUGACGAUGAAGGUUCAGAAAUCAUAGAGAAGAAAUCAAAAAGGGUGAUUCUCAGAUCAGAACGCAAAGGCGAAAUGUUUCCUCUCAAUCUGAAGCCAAUCAAAGGAAAUCCAAGUAUAUGUGUUUUAUCCAAAGCUCAUUCUGACGAAAGCUGGUUGUGGCACCGAAGGCUCUCACAUCUCAACUUCAAAGACAUCAACAAGCUUGUCACAGGAGGUCAUGUUCGGGGUCUCCCAUUGCUCAAGUUUGAUCGAGAACAUUUGUGUGCUGCGUGUGAAAUGGGGAAGCAAAGUCGUCAAAGUCACCCAUCCAUUAUAAACACAAAAGUUGUUGAACCACUUGAGUUGCUUCACAUUGACUUGUGUGGUCCAUCAUCAAUCGAAAGCAUUGGCGGUAGCAAGUAUAUUCUUGUUAUUGUUGAUGAUUUCUCACGUUUUACAUGGGUGUUCUUUCUNCCUAAAGCACAAAUCUAAGGCUACUCCUAAGAUAAAGAUGUUUAUUAAGCAGGUUGAAGUGCAACUGAAAAAAGUCGUUCGCAACAUCAGGAGUGAUAAUGGACCGGAGUUCAAGAACAAAGAAUUUGAAAACCUUUUGGCAGAAAAAGGAACCAGUCACAACUUCUCAGCCCCCUAUACCCCUCAACAAAACGGAAUUGUCGAAAGACGAAACCGAUCCUUGUGUGAGGCGGCCCGAACGAUGCUAAGUUUCGCUUCUCUUCCUUUAUAUUUCUGGGCUGAUGCUAUUGCUGCAGCAUGUUUUACGCAGAACAGGUCUUAUCUCAACAAGCGUUUCUCUCUUACUCCUUAUGAGAUCAUCAAUAACAGGAAGCCGAACGUAAAAUUCUUCCAUGUGUUCGGCUCACGAUGCUUCAUCUUCAACUCCAAAGAACAUCGUAACAAGUUUGACGUUAAAGCUGAUGAAGGAAUUUUUCUGGGAUAUUCUCUUACUUCAAAAGCUUACCGGGUCUUAAAUAAGCGCUCUAGGAAGAUCGAAGAAACAUAUUAUGUGACUUUCGAUGAUAACUACGUCAAAAAGCUAAAGGCUACUGAAGAAGCAAUUGGAGAGAUUUUCACCUAAACAGGUCAAGCCACGGCCUCGAUUGCUAAUCUGUUCGAUCAGUUUGUGGAACUAUUCAAUGAACUUGAGAAAGCUACUCUCUCAGUAGCCAAGGCAGCAGACAACAAAGUCGACCAUCUGAAGCAAAUUGCCGAAGAUGCCGCCAAACAAAUGGGUAAAGGAGAACAAGUUCCAAACGAACCACCUCAGCAAGGCGCUUCAGUUGAGGGGGAGAAUCCACUUUCUUCAAAACAACCGAGCCCACAAAUUGAGGGGGAGAAUUCUAUUCCAGUUCCACCCGAAAGCACAACAGCACCCGAAAGACCUUCAACACCCGAAAGCUCUACAACACCCAAAAAUCCUGUAGCACCAGAAAGUCCUACUACACCUGAAAGCUCAUCAAUCGAGGGGAGAAUUCCGAUAUGUUCUACGACGAUGAUAGUCAAUCUGAAUUGGAAAAAAUGGUCAAUGCUGAACUGGAUCCAUCCUAUGAUCCAAAUUACCCUCCUCUUGUUAAAUGGACCAGAGAUCAUCUUGUAUCUCAGAUAGUGGGUAAUGUCACUGAAAAGGUCCUGACCCGAUCUCAACUGAAGGCAAAGCAAACAUCUCUAUUCUCCGAAGUAGAGUUUUGCAUGUAUAAUUCUUUCGUAUCAAAAGUUGAACCGAAGACAUUAAAUACUGCUCUUGAUCAUUCUGACUGGGUUCAAGCUAUGCAAGAUGAACUCAACGAGUUUGAAAGAAACAAGGUGUGGCGCCUCAUUCCAACUACUAAAGAUGCCUCAGUUGUUGGUCUCAAAAGGGUGUUCAGAAAUAAAAUGGACAAGGAAGGCAAUGUGAUUCGAAACAAAGCUCGUCUCGUGGUGAAAGGAUACUGCCAGGAAGAAGGAAUCGAUUAUGAGGAAACUUUUGCACCGGUAGCAAGGCUGGAAUCUGUUCGAAUAUUUCGGGCCUAUGCUGCACAAAAGAACUUCGAAGUCUACCAAAUGGACAUGAAAUGCGCUUUUCUGAAUGGAGAACUUGAAGAAACGGUUUACAUGGAGCAACCUCCUGGUUUUGUCAAUGAAAAGUACCCAAAUCACUGUUAUAUUUUGGAUAAGCAGUUUACGGUCUGAAACAAGCACCUAGGGCAUGGUAUGAAACGCUAACCAAGGUUUUAAAGAUGUCAAAAUUCAAACAAGGUUCGGUUGACCCAACCUUCUUUUGUAAGAAGGAAGGUAACCACCUUAUGAUUGUUCAAAUCUAUGUCGAUGAUAUCAUCUUUGGCUCAACGAAUCCUAGCUUAACAGCUGAAUUCAGAAAGCUGAUGGAGACUAAAUUUGAAAUGAGCUCAAUGGGUCCGAUUAACUUUUUCCUUGGUUUAAAUAUUAGACAGGGACCCGAAGGCAUCUUUAUCAACCAGGAAGCAUACACCAAGACUCUUCUUGCUAAAUUCGGCAUGAUGGGAGACUCAAAGGUUAAAUUUCCAAUGGCAUUCGACACCAAGCUCAAACCACCUUGGAAAAACCUGCAGUCGAUAUUACAUUAUACCGUCAGAUGAUUGGUUCCUUGAUGUACCUCACCGCUAGCAGGCCUGAUAUAAUGUUUUCUGUGUGUUACUGUGCUAGGUUUCAGGCGAAUCCUCGUGAACCACAUAUGCUUGCAGUUAAAAACAUACUCCGAUAUCUGAAACGAACCACCUCGGUUUAUGGUAUCCAUCAAACUCAAUUUUCUUCGUUCAAGCCUACUCAGAUGCUGACCUUGGAGGUUGUGGUUUAGACAGGAAAAGCACCACUGGAGGCUGCCAAUUCCUAGACGGGAAGUUAGUUAGCUGGCAAUCAAAGAAACAGACAUGUGUCUCUCUGUCUACAGCCGAAGAAGAGUACAUCGCAGACGCCUCCUGUAUAUCUCAAGUGAUUUGGAUCCAAAGCCAGCUCCGGGACUAUGGACUCAAUAUGAAAAAGAUCCCACUAUAUUGCGAUUCAGAAAGUGCAAUUAGGAUCUGUCAUAACCCAGUGCAACAUUCCAAGACAAAGCAUAUAGCACUGAGGUAUCACUUUAUUAAAGAUCAUGUAGAAGAUGGGAACGUCGAAAUUCAUUUUGUUCGAGCCACUGAUCAACUGGCUGACAUCUUCACCAAAGCUCUUCCUGAACCAUCUUUCAAUGAAAUCCUACAAGGGCUAGGUAUGAUGGAAUCGAAGUUAGUACCAAAAACUACUUCUCAAAAUUAAAAGUCAGAAGCGAAAUGAACCGAACGCUCGGGUUCGGUUCACAUGUGUGCCGAAAUGAACCGAACGCUCAGGUUCGGUCCUACUAUCUGAUCUUCGCUUAUCACUCAAAGGUAGUUUCUUUGGUUGUAAACCUUUUGUAUCAUUUUCUCAAAUUUAUCUCUCUUAUUUUCAAAGUUCUUUUCUUUUUCAAACUUAUUUUUUUUGCAACCAAAAUAAACCGAACGCUCGGGUUCGGUUCCAAAAUUUUUUUUAAGCCGAAAUAGACCGAACGCUCGGGUUCGGUUCCAAAUUUUUUUUUGUGUCUUUUUUUUUAUUAAAUCAAAAAUUCCAAAUUUUUUUGUGUGUCUCAUUUUUUUUAUUUUGAAAUCAAAAACUCCAAAAACAUUUUUUUAUUUUUUAUUUUUUAUUUUUGUUUGUACGAUAUUUCUUUUAUCUCUUAUUUUUGUGUGGCUAUUUGUGUGAAAAAUCUUUCAUUAGUUAAGUGUCCCUAGAAGGAUCCUGUUGUAUGUGUCCAAAGCCUCACCUGAUUCUGAAUAAUAGCCUUACUGAUUUGGCACAUACAAACCUUGUCUUCCCAAUUAGGCUUUCAUAUUUAUUCUAAUCAUGAGCUACCUGACUCUCUUCUCACAUGAGAUAAGAGUUUUCUGCUUGGUCCUUAUUUUAACAGCAGAGGUACUUUGUUUUUUCUUUACACCAUCUACACUACUUUUCUCCAUCUCAUUAGCUUCAUAAACAUAACCCUUGAGACUCUCAGAAAUUACCACUGAGGUUUAUGGUUACACAAUUUCUGUGUUUAUGAUCGUAGCUUCGUGUCACUACAUACUAAGUGAAACCCACAAUUCCAUACCUACUAUGCAUUGAUGGUGAACAAUCAACAUUGCUCUAGCAUUCACUAAUGAAUUGACGGACUUAUUCAUGGGGAUAGAAUGUGAAAUCUCUAAUUUCCUUUUGUGUGAUUCCUAUGAAAUUAUUAAAUCCCAUAACAUUUCUUCCCUUGGAAUACAGUUUUAAUUUUUUGAGAUUUUACAUAAAUUAUUUUUCAUUGCCACAUAAAAUAUUUCAAACCUACUUGUUCAACAGACUACAUUGGUCUCACAAGUACUUCGUUCGAUUACUGUCUUAUAUCAAGAUCAGGAAUUCUGAACUGAAGCGAAAACCACCCAAAUUAGCCUGAUUAAAAGAAGCCUUUCAACACUUCUCAAUAAGUGUCUGAUCAUUAUUCAACGGGAGACCACACAAACACUUUAAAGUCUCUCUUGACUUUGAAGGAAGAGAUUCGUGCCCGGGAUCCAUUGUUUCGUGUCUUUAUUGACAUCACAAAUUCCCUCAUAUGUGUUGCUUUAUUUCUUUUUCUUUUACACACUAAGCACGAAAAUCUUUUUGAUUUUCCAAAAUUCCGGUUUCAUUAGUUACAAGGCAUAUUUUUUAAUGGGAUUUGAAGUUAUAAGGGAGUUGUGGCUCACAUUGAUCCACGUGGUCAAUUUUGCUUUAAGAUGACGUUUAAUCUAAAAGGAUAAGAUGUUGACUCAAGCGGGAGUCCAAUCGAUUUGAUUUUCAAACGACGCUUGGAGGCCAAGCGUGCGAAGUGGAACCGUUUCGUUUAAAAAACGGCGCCUGAUGGGAAGGCGUGGUAAUCGGGACAGUUUUCUCUCUCAUGCGUAAUCAUCGGUGCUACCAACUGUCACGCAUCAAUCACUUCCGAAAAACCCUUUGUAUUUCCCUCGAAGAUUUGGGACAGCUUCUUCUCUCUCCUCUACUCACAGUAUAAAAGGUAACUUCAACCAUUGUUUACCUCUUUACUGCACCCAAAUUUCAGAGAGCAAGAAAUUCUUCACGUAUUCUACUGAUCAUCAUCUCUCUCAACUUCUUCACAACGAUGGCGGAUUCAUCAUCAGUUCAUGCCACUUCCCACAUCCUGCCGAUUCGUCCCCAACAGAGUUUGAUUAUCGAUCUUACUCCUCAGGUUUACGACGCCUUCAUGUUCCCAAUCAUCGAGUGCCUCAAAUACUCACUACUUGCUCCUGCACUCACCAAGGCUGAAGUAGUUCCUAUGGAGUUCUUAUCUCAGAUUUUUGCCACUGCUCAUUACGACAAGUCAGUCGAUAGGAUCUUCUUCGACGUGCUUGAUCACAAGGUGUCUAUCUCCAAACAGCGAUUCUGCUCAAUUUUAGGGUUUGAACCUGAUUCAUCUAGGGUUAACCCUGAAUCGAUUCCGAUGGGUCACAUGUUCUGUAUGUUCUACAACAUGGGGUAUACUGAGGUGCUGACAACGGUAAUGAAAAUCAAGAAAUCAUGCCUGCCUCCUCAGUGGAAUGGGUUGUUUACAGUGCUGUUCAAAGGGUUGUCUGAACGCAGUGCUGGAUCAGACGUAGCGAGUCGUCUGUUCAUCACGAUUCUUUAUGAGGUCUACAAUGGUAUCAACCUGGACUAUGGGUCGAUCCUAUGGAAGCAGCUCAUUCAGUGUCUGGCUUCUACUUCUCGGCAUUCCGAGAUUUCCUAUGCUUGUUUUUGGACUCUUGUUACAAAAUGGGUGAUGGACAAGUACCACGUCCCCAUCGUUGCUGGUUCUCCAAUGUCUUCGAUUGGUACUUUCCAUACCACGAAGAUCAUUGGUUCCAUCACUAAGUCGAUGUAUGGAGACGUUCCUGCUGACAGCCGGAUCAUUAAAACCUACAAGGAGUUUCGUCGCUCUGGUCCUAGAGAGCUUACUCCUGAGAUGCUCAAGUCUAUCCAUGAAGCCGACAAGCCUGCUCCAAGGGGAAAGAAGAAUGACAAAGGCAAAGACAAGCAGGUUGGCAAGGGAGCGAAAGGCCCUUCUCCCAAGAAGCGUAAAACUUCACAGACUGUUCAGUCUCCUCCGUUGAAGAAGAGAAAAACCCAACCAAGGCGAAAGCUGAUCAUCGCUUCCUCCUCAAGCGAAUAUGAGGAACAGAGUUCUGACUCUGACGAAUCCCCUCGUGGUAACACUCCUCCACGAUCGCCUACCCCAAAAGUUCAUUUUUCCACUCCACCUAUCUCUUCUCCACCCGUUACCAUUCCUAUUUCCAUUCCCCCCAUAACCUCCACCACUCAAAUACCACCUACCUCCAUCCCAGUACCCCCUCCCAUCUUUACAGAAGCAACCACCACAACCGCCGAAGUAAGAACCAACGUAUCUGAUCCGGGGGCUCCUACUAAAGCACCCGAACCCACACCAACUACUGAACAUACAUCCCAACCCGAACCUACUACAACUACCGAGCCUCCACCCUCACCACCACCCUCAUCUCCUACUCAGGCAGCAGAGGACGAAGAACCAUUCCUCGGCGGGGAGGAUAUGACAUUUGAUUCGGUCUAUUACAGUCCGUUUCAGGUACAGAGUGACGACAAUGAUGAUGCUCCCGUUACCAAGAAGCAUCUCAAGGAGCUUCACGAAAAGAUAGAUUCGCUCAUUGCCUCCUCUUCUUCAUCACAGUCCUCCAUCUCCGUUAGCUCAACUACUGCCACCAUUCCUGCAUCCAUGAAAGUUUGUGAGGCUACGACCGAAAAAGUCGAAAAACUAUUUUCUGAUGCUUCCUCUCUGUUACAAUCUUUACAGGAAACUGUCGAAGCCACCAAAACAAAGUUGGAACCAAUUGUCAGCCAGCUGGCUACCUCAGUUGCAUCAGAACUGAAGUCGUUUGCUUCUCUUCGUCAAACUCUCUCAGACGACAACUCCGCUUUUAAGAUGACCAUUGAGGAGCGACUCACCAAGCUUCAAGAAGAUCUAGCUACUGAGAACUCCCUCAUGGACACUCAAGAGUAUUCAACUCUCCAAUUCUCAAAAGGAGAUUGAGUCUCUUUGAUCUGAAAGAGAGAUUGUGUCUUCGUGUGUUUCGGAUGUCCACGCAGCCAUUUCAAACAUCCUGGAAGCACAUGACCCGAUACUCAACUACUCUGUGAGGUGAGAUCUUGCAGAAAAACUUGCUCCUGCCCUUUCUCUCCUGAGCAAUAUUGAAGGGCUCCUUGAUUUCGUGUCCAUUCCGAAACAAGGGGAGAAAAAGAAAAUGUGUCUCAACCGCCUCCUACUUCAACAGCAACCAAAACAACCAAACCUCCUCCGACAGGCCAAGCCUCAGGUUCGGGUGUAAAAGACAAGGGCAAGAAAAUUGCUGAAGAGAGCGAUGAUGACAAAGAGACCAUUGCCGAUCUUUUGAAGAAACAGGGUCGAGACAAAGAUGCUGACAUCAACGCUCGUGUGGCUAGAGAGGCUGAAGAAGCCGAAAGAAAGCAGAAAGAAGCUCACGACCUUCUCGAGAGUAGGAAGACUCUUUUUCCUCCAUGGACUCAUGAGAAGUUGCUGAAAGAAGCCAUCGAAACUCCAAGCAUCUUGUGGCUAGAACCAGUGAUCUCACUUGAUCGUGAUAAUUCUGUCGAUUCUCAGUUCGACAUGCCACUGACCUGAAUGGCAUUUUUCUUUCAUGCCUUUGACAACAUUGCUGAGUUCCCUCAUCCUCAUCCAAAGGUUGACAGGGAUUUGGUAGAAUUCUAUCUGAGGGUCGUUCAACCAUAGUAUCAAACAUGGAGCGCUCAGAAGAUAGUCAAUGUUCGGGUUCUCAAGCCGUAUCGGGAAGGAAACUUCACCAACGUUUGGUUUAAGGUGCUGAGAGGAUCUGCCAGGACCGAACAUGCCAUCUCGCUUGCUGAUCUUCCCAACUUGAAUCCACACGACUGGAUAAUUUUGCACAACAUCCUUCUUACAAAUGAAGCCGAAUAUGGUCCGAUCAUCGACCACUUUAAGAGGAUGCUUGUUUGCUACAUCAUGGAAGUCGCCAAGUUGGAUCAGUAGAUAGCGAGGGUAUUCAAGAAAAAGCCUACUAUUUCUCCUGUUGGCUCAGCAAGUGAUCUCAACUUGAUGCAGAUGGGGAAGAUAGACCCGAAGAGAAACUCUGUUAUGUUUACCAGAAACGAAGGCCAAAAAUGCCUGUUCGCUUUGGCUGACAAACAUCUCUAUACCACUGCAUGCCUGGAACAUGUCUUAGGGAUCAUUCAUCGAUGCAAGCAGAACUCAGCGGAUGACAAGAAGUACUUUGAUGAUAUGAUUCAAUGGUACAUUCGCUUCAGACAGACAAUUCUCGCACUUAUCUCUCGUCUGUUUGAUACAACCAAGAAGGUUCCAGUAGCUAGUCCAAGCAAGAAGAAAUGAUAGUCUCGCUCCAAAUUGAUGCAAAGAGGGAGAUUGUUAGGUCCAGUUUAGUGUUGCGUCUUUGGGCUCAUUAGCUAGUCCAAGUUUUGUCUCCGGUAUGGGACUGUCCAUCCGUGAGUUUCGUAUAGGGUUUAUUAUAUAUAGAUGCUUACAUGCAUUCUUGAAAGGAAUGUUUUGAUAGAGAUUUGAUAGCGUAAAAGUUCUUAUCAUUUGUAACCCUAGAAUUCUCUACAGCGGAAGUUCUUCAUCGAGCUCUGCUGAGGAUUGAGUUAAUCAAAUCAUUCGACUCAUUCAGAUCCAUACUUGAGUUUUUGUUUAACUGUUAUUACUUUCUUUAUUUGCCUGUUUUAAAGAUCUAAUUGAUCAAAGAUUUUUAUAAACUCAUCAACUCGCCGAUUUUGAAGAACAACUCGUCGAGUACCAGAAAAUCUUCAAAGGACUCACUGAGUUGUUCAUCCAACUCGUCGAGUCCAACACCAUCUUCAUAGAACUCGCCAAGUCCACUUUUGGAACUCGCCGAGUCCCUUCCACUCUCCUCCCAUACAGACCAAAUCUGAGACAUGCAACGGUUCCAGACCAUAGAUCUAAGCUCCUAGGGCAUGCUUAUCACGUAAAGUUGCAAACUUUACGUGCAUGCAUGGCCCUAUAAGCUCCAACAGGCAAUUCCAAGCUCUUUAUGAGGUCAUGCACUCAAUAAGGACCUCAAUCACUUCAACCACAAGGACUUUAUACUUAUAAGAUGUCCAUAAGGUCCAGAUCUAAAGUCCUUUUAGAACAUAGAGCAUAAACACAUGGAGUUUGAGGUUUUAGGUCUUGAAAACCACUAAUUUGGGACAAAAAGGGGAUCUAAUGAACUAGUGAUCAAGGUAGGAACUUUUCUACCUGAAUGAAAGCUUCUCACAGUGUAGAUUCCGGAUCUACCUCCCUUCCUUGCACUCUUCAACCUCCUCCUUCUUCUUCUAAGCUCCAAACUUCCUUCACAAAGCCAAAAUCACUCACAAGAACAAUAUGGGGGCUAGGGUUUCGCUCUACAGCUUUCUAGAAGUGUUAGGGACAAAGGAGGCCAAGUUACAGCGUUUAAAUAGGGUGAAAACACCCAGGUUAGGGUUUUGCCCAGACAGGGACUACUCUCCGAGUCCACAGCUUAGACCCCGCGUCUUAUCCCGCUUCUACUCGGCGAGUUGGUCCUUCAACUCGCCGAGUCCAAGGCCAAAAUUGCAAUAUUUAAAGAUUUAAUUAGAAAGAUUACGUACCAAGAACCAGGUGCUACAAAUCUCCCUCACUUAUUUUUGACUUCAUCCUCAAAGUCUGUUGCUCGUCCCUGAAAUAGCACGGGGUAGUGCUCUAUCAUCUCUUCCACCGGCUUCCAAGUCCACUCUGAUCCUUUCCGGUGCUGUCAUUGCACCUUCACGAGUCCCACCCUUUUGUUCUUCAAAUCCUUCGACUUCAGGUCGAGGAUCGCUACAGGCCGCUCGAUGUAAUUCAGCUUGCCGUCAACCUGAAUGUCCUCCAAGGGUACUACUGCUGAGUCUUCCACCAGACACUUCCGCAAAUGAGAGACAUGGAAAGUGUUGUGUAUCUGAAUGAGUUCGGUUGGCAAAUCCAGCCUAUAUGCCACCUUGCCCACCCGGGCUAUAACCCUGAACGAUCCAAUAUACCUUGGGCCCAACUUGCCCUGCUUCCUGAAUUAAAUGACGCCUUUCUAAGGCGACACUUUCAGGAGGACCAUAUCUCCGACCUGGAACUCCAGGUCUGAUCGACGCUUAUCGGCAUAACUAAUCUGCCAACUCUGAGCAGUCUGAAGCCUGCUUCGGACAUGCUGAAUCUUCUCUGUUGUCUUGAGCACCACUUCGGUGCUUCCCAUGACUAUCUGACCAACCUCUCCCCAACAUAUCGGGGUCCUGCACCUCCUCCCAUACAACAUCUCGAAGGGAGGACGGUCGAUGAUCGCAUGAUAGCUAUUAUUAUACGAGAACUUCGCCAACGGAAGGUAGGUAUCCCAACUACCUCCCGAAAUCUAGAACACAUGGCCGCAACAUAUCCUCCAACGUUUGGAUAGUCCGCUCGCUCUGACCAUCCGUCUGCGGGUGAAAAGCGGAGCUGAAAUGCAGACAAGUACCCAAGUCGUCAUGAAACUUCUUCCAAAACCUGGAAGUAAAACGCACAUCCUUAUCUGCAAUCACCGACACUGGCACCCCAUGUCGCGCCACUAUCUCCCUGAUAUAGAUGUCGGCCAACUUCUCGGUCGAGAUGCUCUCCAGAAUCGGAAUAAAAUGGGCGCUCUUGGUCAAUCGGUCCACGAUGACCCAUAUCGAAUCCACUUCUCGCACGGUACAGGGAAGCUUCGAUAUAAAAUCCAUCGUAAUAUCUUCCCAUUUCCAUAGCGGGAUAUCCAACAGCUGCAUCUUACCGUGUGGUCUUUGGUGCUCGGCCUUGACCUUCCUACAGGUCAAGCAACGCUCCACGUACCAGGCUAUAUCCUGCUUCAUGCAAGGCCACCAAUAAUCCAGACGAAGAUCCCUAUACAUCUUCUUUGCCCCGGGAUGAAUGGAGAAUCUAGACUUGUGUGCCUCGGAGCAUCAAAACCUGGCGCACGCCUCCAUGGUACGGCACCCACACCUUAGUGUGUAGUGUUAACAAACCUCGACUGUCAUAGUCGAAAGAGGAAAUCUGACCCACAAUCCUCUCACUCUUCCAAUGUUCCUCCUUCAUCGCCUCCCGAAUCUGCUCUAGCAGCGGGGUCACCAUUAUCAUCCUCAAACAGACAUCCCUGAUCGGUACCGCCUUGCGGCUAAGUGCAUCGGCCACCACAUUGGCCUUCCCUGGGUGGUUAAGGAUCUCACAAUCAUAAUCCUUCACCACAUCAAGCCACCGACAUUGCCUCAUGUUCAGAUUUGGCUAAUCCAUAAGGUACCUCAAGCUCUUGUGGUCCGUGUAAAUCGUACAGCGAACCCCGUAGAGGUAGUGACGUCAAAUCUUGAGGGCGAACACCACAGCCCCCAGCUCCAAAUCAUGCGUCGGGUAGUUCGCCUCAUGAGGCUUCAGCUGCCUCGAGGCAUAAGAAAUGACAUGCCCUCUGUGCAUCAAUACCGCGCCCAGACCUGAGAUGGACGCGUCGCAAUAAACAAUGAAAUUCUCCACGCCCUCUGGCAGGGCUAUUGGCGCCUCGCAUAAUCUCUGCCUCAACGUCUCAAACGUCGCCUGCUGCUCAGGCCCCCAUCGGAAGAUUACAGCCUUCCUCGUUAGUCGCGUCAAGGGUACAACUAUCUUGGAGAAAUCCUGGAUGAAUCUCCGAUAGUACCCUACUAACCCUAGAAAACACUGAAUCUUAGAUGGAGACUUCGGAACCUCCCACCUCAUCACGGCCUCUACCUUGGCCAGAUCCACCGAAAUCCCGUCCUGGUUGACAAGGUGCCCAAGAAACUGCACCUCGCGCAACCAAAACUCACACUUAGAGAACUUAGCAUAUAAGCUCUCUCUCCUCAGGGUCUCCAACACCUCUUGUAGAUGCCACUCGUGCUCCUCCCGCGUCUUGGAAUAAACCAAGAUGUCAUCAAUGAAAACUAUCACAGACCGGUCCAGUAUCGGUCUGCACACGCGGUUCAUGAGGUCCAUGAACGCGACAGGAGCAUUGGUGAGCCCAAACGGCAUGUCAUAAUGGCCAUAGCGUGUCUGAAACACGGUCUUCUACACAUCCUCCUCUCUGACCCUCAUCUGAUGGUACCCCAAUCGCAGAUCAAUCUUGGAGAACCAAGAUGCUCCCUGAAGCUGGUCGAAGAGGUCAUCAAUCCUCGGGAGUGGGUAACGGUUCUUCACUAUCACCUUAUUCAGCUCCUGGUAAUCUAUACACAUCCGGUGCGACCCGUCCUUCUUUUUCACAAACAGAAUUGAGGCUCCCCAGGGAGAACUACUUAGUCUAAUGAAUCCCUUGUCUAUCAGCUCCUGCAGCUGUGUAGACAACUCCUACAUCUCGGGAGGAGCCAACCGAUAUGGUGCCUUGGCUAUCGGGGCCGUACCAGGGACUAAGUCGAUCCUGAACUCCACCUGUCGCUCCGGAGGUGUCCCAGGCAACUCCUCGGGGAAUACGUCCACAAACUCUUGAACCACGGGCACAUCGCCCACUGUCGCCUUACCCGCCUCCCGGACGUCCAUGAAAGAAGAGACAUAUCCUGCACAACCUUGCUGAAGGUAACGCCUAGUUCUCGCUGCUGAGCAUAAGGCUGGUCCUCCAUGUGGCCUCUCGCCCUGAAUCACCAGCUCUCCCCCACUUGGGGUCCUGAUCCGCACCAACUAUUGCGCGCAGUCGAUCAUUGCCCCCAUUGGGGCUUAACCAAUCCAUACCGAUAAUAACCUUGUUCCCCCGCAAAGGUAUAGGAACCAGGUCGACCAAAUACCACUCCUCAAACAAUCUCAAUACAAAAUCCCGGAAGACCUCUGAUGCUUGCACUGACCGGUCGUCCGCAAUCUCAACCUCUAGAGGGCAAUCCAACAUUCCCGAGGGCUCAGGAAACUUCUUGCUAUGCGCAAGAGAAACAAAUGAUCGGGUAGCCCCCGAAUCAAACAACACCUGAACUGGGAUACCGUUCACAUGGAACGAUCCUAAACAGAGCACAUACAUAUAACAUAUCAAAAUUACAGCAGCAUAACAUAAAGCAUAAAUAAGAAAUCAUACCCAUCACCACAUCGGGUGUGGCGCGUUCCUCCUCUAUAGUCAGCUGAAAGGCCCGACUCCUCACCACUGGAGCCUCCGACUUGCCCUGCUGGCCAUCUGUGAUCCUCAGGGUCGCUGGAGGUGGCGCCUUCACUGGAACUGAUGCUGCUAUCAACUAGGGGCAAUUGGCCCUCUUGUGGCCCCUCUGGUUGCAGUGGAAACACAGCAAAUCAGAUGUCUGAACAACCGAGGCAGGGGAAAUACAAUCCCUGCUAAAGUGUCCCGUAUUGCCGCACUUCCUGCAACGGCCCGGUCCUCCUUGGCUUUUCGGCCUACCAUCUGAUCCCUUGGGCUUCUUCCCCGAAGCCCCAGCCACCUGCCAUGCCUUUGCCUUCCUCUCCCGGAUAUGCUCCAAAUCAAUCUCCCUCUCCCUUGCCCUGGUAAUCAUGGACUCCAGGGUAGGGCAAGCUGAAAAGCUAACAUGCUCUCGGAUGUCAGGCUGUAGCAUGUGAUGAUAGCGGGUCCUCCUCAUAUCCUCAUCUCCCGCAUACUGGGGAACCAGCAAUUCCCUCUCCCGGAACUUGGCGGUGAUCUCCGCCACAGUCUCCGUAGUUUGUCUCAUGUCCAAAACCUCUCUGUCCAGCUGCUGAAGCUCUACCGCUGGCGCAAACUCUGCUCGGAACUGGGUCAUAAAAUCUGACCUUGUCAUAGCCUCAACAGCUGAGGCUCCCAAUGAGUCACCAACAGACUCCCACCAGUCUCUAGCUCUGUCUCUCAAACACCAUGUUGCAUAUCUCACCUUCGACCCCUCGGGGCAGAAGCUGGUCAGCUGUGCGGACUCAAUGUCCGCAAUCCAUCACCUGGCAGUAAUAGGCUCCUUCACCCCAUGGAAAUCUGGCGCACCACUACCCCUGAAGUCCUUAAAGGACAGUGUGCGAGAUCCUGACUGGCGAGAUGCCAUGUCACUCCUGAACACCCUGAGGCGGUCCUCCAUUAGCUCAACUAUCCCUUCCUUGAUCGACCCGAAAAUGAUGGGGGUUGACUCAAGGAUGCCUCUGGUGAUCUCUGACACGAUGAACUCGCGUAGCCUCUCAUCUACUGGCUCAAAACCUGAUCCCGAACCUGAUCCCUCUCUAGAACUGCAACCUGGUUGCCUCUGACGUAGUAUCACCAUUCUGCAAUACACACAGGCAACCAUUAGUGAUACUGAUACCUCUAAAGGGAUCACAUCUAUUACAAGUUCCCUGGUCUUGCCUCAGCCUUCCUUAAUUCGGGUACGGAUCCUCUACAUUCAGUAGUACGGGCCCAUACUACCUUCCACAUCUAUCUGUACCUUCCUCAAGGGCAGCCUUGACUCCACCAGAUCCUUUUCUCUACUACUGAUCCUCUGCUAUUCCCAUUCUAGGCUUGCCCUAGGGAAAAUCUCUGACUCCACCCAAACCGGUCCUCAGCCGCUGAAGGCCUCCUUGUAAUGCUAGUUAGCCAUUACCUGAAUACCAUCACAUGUUAUGAGGCUCAGAUAAUCCUUCGAGUAACAUACUCUUCCCUACAACGGUUAGACUCAAACAAGAGUUGCACAAUAGGGCCAAAUCCACUACUCUGAGAUUAUUCAACCAUGAUCACAUGUAAUGUGACGUAUUCACCGAAUGGCUAACUUCCAUCAUGCAGAGUCCCACAUAGCACAAAGGAAACAACAUUCGGACGGAGGAAAACUACUCAAGCAAAUUGGUCCUCAAAAUGAGAAGUUGAACUAGCAUAUAAUGCUAAGCUCAUACUACCAGGCAUAACCUAAUUAGGCUAUCCUACUACUGUCUAGUCAAUACUAGCAUGCAAUUCUAAUAAGCUGAAGCACAUAAAGCAGGAACAUAAGGCAUCAUUCCUAGAUCCUUAGUCCUAUUCUAGCAUGCUUCUCUACUGAAUCUGAUAAACAUAAUAAAACAUUGUAUGGGUACUUUGGGGAAUACUUACUUGAGCUCGGUUGGUCGCGCACAUCACACACUUCGUUCUUUCUUGAAACUCAUUACUUAUUCCUUUAGAAAACUUUUGCUUUUUCGAAAUCCUUUAAUCCCUUGAUUUGAAUUCCAACACCCCCAAGGUGUGUCCGAAUCCCUCAAACCAGGGCUCUGAUACCAACUUUUAACGACCCAAUUUUCACGACCAAAAAUUUCAUUUUUAAAUCAAUACUUUGGAAAACAUUGGUGAAUAAACAUCAUUUGAUCCCAUCAUUUCAUAAACAUAUUUCGUGUCUGAAAGCCAAAACAUAAAAAAAACCAUAAUGUUAGAGUACAAAUCCCAGAAUAACACAUGGUGUGGAAAACAAUGUGCGUGUUUGAUAUGCCGCAACCGCGCCAGCUCUUUCCCCUUCGAAGAAGAGGUACCUGAAACCGAAACUGUAAACUGUAAGCACGAAGCUUAGUGAGUUCCCCCAUAAUACCACAUACCAUACAAUCAUAUAAUGAAUAGCUAGGAGAUACGGGCCUCGCCCACACUCAUGGAGAUACGGGCCUCGCCCACGCUCCGCUAGCUGGGAGAUACAGGUUGUCUGUCUGGAUGGAGUGGUCAAGGUUAUUUAGCAUGCCCUACUUGUAAUGAGGACACAUCUUCAAUUUGUGUGACAACAAGAUAUCUUAUGUUGGUCACAAACGAUUCUUGAAUAUGAACCAUAUCUGGAGGGAGAGUCUACUGUUUGAUGGUCAAUCUGAGACAAGACCAUGUCCUAGACGAUUCAUUAAUGCAACUAUAUUAAAGCAAGUAACUCAUCUCUCUGAUUGUAUUCCACAGAAACAUCCUAAUCAUGGGGGUCAAAAAAGAAAGCGCGGGGAUGAAAGAAAAAAAAGAAAGAGUUGAAUUGGACAAAACAAAGUAUCUUCUUUGAACUUGAAUAUUGGUCUUCCCUCGACCUAAAACACAAUCCCGAUGUUAUGCAUGUUUCAAAAAAUAUGAAUGAGAGUGUGUUGAAUACUCCACUAAUGAACGAUAAAAGCAAAGACAGAAAAGAAGUAAGAAUUGACUUGAGAAAUAUGGUCAUUCGACCAAAUGAAUGGCCAAAAGAGAAAGUCAAGAAUAAGAAGAAAGACAACAACAACAAGGAAGAAAAAAGAAGAAAGAAAUACUCUCAUAUGCUUCUAACUCUCUCAAACCAAUUAAUUGACAAUGUUUCUAUCAGUUCAUUAAAGGAGUGAGACUACCUGAUAGUUUUGGAUCGAAUUUUAAAAAGACGUUUAGGGAUACUGAAUCAAAUUUAGUUGGGUUGAAGUCUCAUGAUCAUCCCAUUGCCAUGCAACAAUUACUACCUAUAGGGGUUCGAGCACGUCUCCCGCCAAAUGUUUCAAGAACAAUCAUUUGGCAUGUGUACAUUCUUUAAAAAAAAUUGUGCACAGUAAUUGGAUGUUAACGACAUGAGAAAUGCUAGAACAAACGUGGUGAAGAUCUUAUGCAAUCUUGAGUUGAAAAAUCCUACAAAAUUUUCCAACAUAAUGAUUCAUCUUUUUUCAUUUAUCUCAAAAAGCCAUUCUUAGAGGUCAUGUACACAUUAUAUGGAUGUAUCCUUUUGAAAGAUAUAUGAAAAAACUUAAAUAUUAUGUCUGAAACAAAGCCAGUUUAGAAGGUUCAAUAGUAGAGGAUUAUGUUGCAGACGAAGCUUUGACAUUCUGCUCUAUGUAUCUUGAGGGUAUGCAAAAUAAAUUCAACCGUGCUGAUAGAAAUGAUGAUUCUGACCUUCCAAGAAGGCAAUUUUCUGUGUUCUUAUCACAAUUUCGAACAAUGUCGGCUAAGAAAAUUGUCGAACUUUGUAAAGAGGCCAAAAAAUCGUUGCAUUUGUUUGUACUAAACAAUUACGAUGAAGAUGAGAUGAGAUGCUACAAAUCUUAAGUUUCUAAUCUGUUAACUACAUUUUCGAUAGUGUUAUAAUAUAUUUUAACUAUUCUAAUCGUUUUGUCCCUCAUCCAAUGAGUUCAAAUCAGAAUUGCCUGAAAGUGAUUUCAAAAUGGAAUUUCCUUCAUGGUUCAAAGAAAAGGUAAAUAUGUUAUAUAUUUAUUAUGUAAAACUAAUGUAAAAUAUUGGAUAUAUUUUUAAAAUUUUAAAUUUCUAAUUUUCCAAUUCUAUAUGUAAAUGUAGCAAAAGCAAAGAAUGUGAAUGUAUGUAGCAAAUGGAAAAACAUAAAGUUGUACGAUGAGUAUAAAGAUAACGUUCCUAACCCUUUGGUCAUGAGACUUGAUACCUCUGGGAGGACGUAUCGAUUCGUGGGGGACAACGUGCAAUUGUUUGUCAGAUUGAUCUCAAAUUUGGUGGAAUCAGAGGUAUCGUUGCAUUAUCAUACUUGGUCUCGUGUUCCUACCAAGUACAAAGAUAAUUUAUAUCCCGAGCUAGAAGUAAGUAUACAAUAUAUUUCAUAUGUAUUCAAUUUUACACUUAUUAAAUAUUUCUUUUACUAAUCAAAUAUAUUUUUUUGCAGACUUAUUUUGAUCUUGAUAGGUAUUGGGGCACAUACUUGUGGGAACCCAUUGAGCGAGUAUCCAUGCAAAUUUGCAAAGAGCUUAUCAAGAUCGCAAGCAUGAAAUGAAAAAUAAUUUUGAUAGAGUUGGUGGAUAUGAGGAUGUGGAAAGGGCAAGAAGACAUCCACCAACUGAUUGGUCCGCCGAAGCUUGGAAUAAGAUGAUUGAUUUGUUGUUUUUAACCGAUGAAUAUAAACGCACAUCGACCAAAAAUAAAGUUACUAGGUCGAAACUUCGGCACACAAGUGCUCAUGGAUGUAAGUCCUAUCCUCAAAGACAUUAUUUAGAGGUAAUAACAUAUAUUAGUAUUAUUUAAAAUUGUUAUUAACACUUGUAUAAAUAUUUUUUUACUUAAUAUUGGAAAAACUAGGACUGAAGCCGCAACAUAUUGAGGGUUGGAGACAAAUGAGCUACAAAGAAGGUUCGGGUUGGUGUACAAGUCGAGCACGAGAAUAUUGAGUAAGUGAUAAACAAAAAUAAUAUGUUGUUUAAAUAUGUUAUAACUAUUAAAUAUAGUUUUUUAUUUAAGGUAUAUUAUUAUUAUUUUAAUGUUUAAAUUUAGUUGUUUGUUUAAAUAUCGUAGGUUUAUUAUUUUCUUUAUUUUAGGAGAAAAUUCAAGACGGAUAUGAGAAAAUGCAAAGCACGGUCGGGGAACGCGGAGACGUAGAUGCGGAAUAAUGUUUCACAUGUGCCCUUAAGACGAGAUGCGGGCAUGCUCAUGGACUAUGUAGGAGACCAACCGCCAAUUUCGGUUUAAUUCCAAAUGAACAGGCUUCCGCUUCCACAUCUUCCCAAUGUCAAUCCAAAUUUCAAUCCCAAUUUGAUGCACAACAAAUGCAAGAAUACUUGCAACAAUAUAAUGCAUCAUUGGCGAUAUGUAUUCCUAACUUCCAAUUACCAACAUUUCCUAGCUUUCUAUUCAACACACAAGGAAGUACCUAUUAACAGAAUGUCAAGCGCGAGAAGAAGAAGAAGAAGAAGAAGAAGAAGAUAAUGAUGGUUGAUGUUUUGUUUUAUUUUGAACAAUGUUAACUACUUAUUGUAAUAUUAAACUUGAAUUUGAUGUUUUGAGUUUAAACAAUGGUAGCUGUUAUUGUAUCUCAACUGAUAUAUGUUGCAAAGUGUUUGGAUUUGUUAAAAAUACAGGAAUUGCAAUGUAUAGAAUCUGUAAAACUAAAAAAAAAACACCUAGUGGCUAUCCUGAUGACAAGUCGUCGCUAUAGGUAUUUCAUCGACAAAUGUGAAAAACCCUGUAGCAACGACAAGUCGUUGCUAUAGGUGGUAUAUAUGUCGUCGCGACAGGCAAUUGUUAACACUUUAUUUUUUUUCCGAAAAUAUUCUUGACCAAAACUGUACCAACGAAAGGUCAUCGGAAUAGGGGUACCUAUCUCGAUGAUUCCUAUGUCGACGACGUUUUUGACCUAUCCUGACAUGCCUAUGUCGACGACUCAGUCCCGAUGACUUGUCGUCGGUAUAUCCUAUACCGACAACCUGUUAUCGGUACAAGGUCAGAAAUUAUCAUCGCCACAUGGGGUUAAUGUUGCAGUGUUAAUUGCUCUUCAUCUCUAGUUUCCGAUGCUAUGAGUUGAUCAAGAAAAUCAUUUACUUACUAUGCCAAACUCAACCUGUCAUACACCUUACUUUUUCUAUAUACUUAUUAAUUAAUUCUGUCUAUUUCUGGCCAUCAUCUUUAUCAUUUUUAAAAGAGAAGAAUGAACAAAAACAUUAAUAUUUCAUUCUUGAUCCUAAUAAUAGUAAGCUGUGGAUUUCCAUUUUAGGAACCCAAUGACUUUGCUAACUAGUGCAUGCAGAGUCUAUGAAAUGAACACCCAUAACAAAAUUUAGGCUCGACAGAGUGGGGUCGGCACCACUCGGAAAACACCGCACCGGGUCCCGACGACCUAGGUCGGUGAUGGUAUCCGAUGAACUUCUGCCGAUGAGAGAGAAAGGGAUGUAUGAAUUUAUUAAUUUUUUCUUCUUUUACCAUUCAAAUAAUUUUUCAUUUUCAAAAAAUACCAUAUUUUCAAAAACUACCACCUUUUCAAAUUAUAACCGUAUUGUUUUUUCAAAAUUUCAAAUUUUAAACCUUUAAUCCCAAACUAUAAAUACAAUCAUCCUUCAUCAUUUUCAUAAAUUUCAAAUCUUUUUAAUUCAAUUCUCCUAAUUUUCUUAUUUUCCAUCUUCUUUAUAAUCUCAUCGCUAAAAAAUGGCUCGUGUUUGGUCAACUGAUGAAGAGAUCAUAUUGGCUGGGUUGAUGUAACAGAAGACACAAUCAACAUUAACACCAAUGUGACUACUUUCUGGAGUAGAGUCACAGAAAGAUUCAACCACAAAGCCACUCUACCUAGAAGUAAAGAUCAACUCUUCUAUAAAUAGAGACAUAAAGGCACAAUUUGAGUUCAGUUUAACAAUCUGCUUCAUAGGGUGAUGAGUGAAGCCGAGCAAGGUGAAAAUGAAAAUACUUUGUUUGUGAAUGCUCUCCAGAGUUUCCGCCAAGAAACCACCAAACCUUUCCUACAUAUCGAGUUUUAGCAAAUUUAGAGGCAUUCCCCAGACGAUGUCAAAUUUAAGCUCCUUUUCUUCUAAUUUCUGGUGGUGUUGUUUGUUUCAAUUUCUAGUGGUGUUUUGUGUUAGUUUAAUUUCAAGUGUGUUAUCAAAUGUGUGAUUUCCAUUAUAUAAAUUAAAUAUUAAAAAAAUUAGCAUAGCAAGCGUGGCAACCCAUGCUAUGUAAAUGGAAAAUUUUGGUUGUAGUGUAGCAAAUAUGAUGUGGUGCCUACGUGGUCUGUGGCAAGCGUGACACCACUCCCACCAGCCUUACAACUUUAUAUUAUGUUCUCUAACAAGGAACUCUUCACAAACCCUCACCAAAAAGAUAUCAAAAUCAAGAUAAUGGAAAAAAAUAUGGUAGAUUUUUUUUACGACUGGUUAGUGGUUGUAACUUUGUAAUACUAAGUACAAUUUGCUAAAACCCAUAUCAAACCGAUAUUAGAACCUGGUACCUCGAAUCUAAGAGGAAAACCUUCUAUGAAGUGGUCUAGUCCCACAUUGGCCUUUAACGUUAAAGAAGAGAAAAAUAUCGUAGAUUAGUUUGACAAUCACAAAAAUAGACCCCAAAUCUCUAAUCGCAUCAUCUGUAAAAGACUUAGAAAGCAAUAGUUAGCAAAACAUAAGAUUUCGAACUAUAACAUGUAAUAAAAAUCAGCUCGAAUAGAUGAAAAUUUUAAAAAUAAGUGCACGAAAAGUUCAGUCGAUUAAUAUAAAGAAUAAUAUAUUUCGAAAUCCAUAUCAACAUGUAUCCAAAAAUAUAAAUUUUGCAAAAAUCUAACGCCGUCUGAAUUAGAUAUGAUCAUUGUAAAAUAUAAAAAUGAGCAUCGUGUAAGAGGGAACGCUAGAAAGCUACAAAAAAAAGGUUGACCUUUGGAUAAAGUCACCAAAAGGAGAAUCGUAGUACUCCUCGACAUAAGAACUUUGAGACACAGAAGACCAAAAAUGGAGUAUGUAUGAGAGGGAUAUGAUUUUUGUAAAAUCAUUUAAAUCAUAAAAUAAGGGCUAAAAAUAAAUUUGAAAUUAUCUAAUACAACCUAAAUAAAAGUUGUAGUACUCGACGAUAGAUACACAUGUGUGUGCAUAUAUAUAUAUAUAUAUAUAUAUAUANNNNNNNNNNNNNNNNNNNNNNNNNNNNAUAUAUAUAUAUAUAUAUAUAUAUAUAUAUACAUACAUUCACAUGUGCGUUGCACAUAUGAAGGUGUGCCACGCGCACACCAAAACCAGCCACUAUAAAUAGAGACACUCACCCUCUCUCUUUUCACGCCUCACAUCACUCUCUAUUCUCUCAAUCGAUCCACAUAAAUUCCCUUCUUCUUAAUGGCUCUAGUCUACCGAUGCGAAAAUAUGGAGCAACCAAAUUACAAUCCAAGGGUGAGCUCACAACCUUGCUUUUACAACUUUAUAGGGGAAUACAUGUUAAUAUGCUACAUUAUCGAUUUUACAAAACACAUGAAACGUUAGGAUGAUAUUAUGUAUGGUAGUUACCCUGCCAAAAGUUUUUAGGAAUUAUAUUAUGCCUAGUCGUUAUGUUACUCAAAACCAUAAGAUGAUAUUAUACCUCGUAGAAACUUUACUGUAAUUUAUAAUAUUAUACCUAGUUAAUAUGUUGGUCAAUCUCCUAGGAUAACAUAGCGCCUAGAUCUUAUGUUCGCCAAAUCUUAGGAUGAACAUUGUACUUAGUUGUUACUAUGCCCUAAUAUCCUAAAACAAAAACAUCGACGCUACGAUAAUUAUAUANNNNNNNNNNNNNNNNNNNGAUGUUUUAUUUGUAGGAUAUUUGGGCAUAGUAACAACUAAGUACAAUGUUCAUCCUAAUUAUGGAAGAAAAUAACAACAAGAGAAAACUAAAGAGUAACAAGAACGAUAAAACAUACUAUAAGGUUAAAUAAAACAUUUUAGAUGAGGAACGAUAAUUCAUCCAUAGGCUAAUUAGUUUUCAUCUAACCACGGACAAUAAUCGUUAAAUCUUAAGUGAGUGGAAAAGAUAUGUAUAGAUCUAUACAAGAUUGACACACCCACCUAUGGUUGCUAUCUACAAACCCUGACGGUAAAGGGUGUGACAGAUUGAUAUCAGAGCCAUAGGUUAUAAAGAACUUUGGGAGAUGCAGCAAUGAGGUGACUGGAUUCAACUGUGGAAAGACUGCUCAUUAUGCUAGCAACUAAACCCAAAGUGCGCGUUACAAAUAUGGAGAAGCAAGGUAUCUCAGGAGUGACAGCCCAAAGGAAAACAAAGUUGCAAGGACGAAUGUGCUACCAAAACAAAAGACAUUGGCAUUUUAGAUGACCCUGGAAGCAACAGAAGGUGAAGCAGAAUAGAGUAGGAAGCUGCUUAUCCAGAGUCCAAGAUAUGAAGUAGUCGUCAUAUAUAGAUAAUAUUAUUUUAUGUAGCCUGAUGAAAAAGUCAUGGAGUAUGGUGAACUUGAAUAACAUUUCAAUAUUUUUCAAGAAGUUAUACAAUACCUAAUUAUGUCAUGAUAUUCGAUGUGUUAAAUUGCUAUGUUACUUUAUUGAAUGGUGAGUUGGAGAACUGCGAGGCUAUUGUUAGGACGAGUAUGAGUAGGUGUGAUAGGUAGUAGAGACCUAUACUACCGGUAGCUUACGACUCACACUUUGAUAAAAAAAGUCACAAGGUUACUAAGGCACUAGUAGUUGAUUUUGUUUCAUCUGCAUCCGUCAUUACCAUCAUUUCGGUAAUAACUGAGAAAAUGAUUGUUAUUCUGACCCCAGUGAUCAUAAUGAAUCGAGUCCGAUUAAGGUAAACCUGCAAAGUAAGUUACUCAGUUCACAAAAACAUGUUCGAUGUAGUAUCUGAGUUUAGUUAGAAGAUUGACGGUAAAGAUAAUUGAAGCAAUCUGCAGAAGUGUUGCAGCCAAUGUUAAAGGCUAAGCAACCCGAAGCUAGAAAUGCUACAUGUUAGGAAGUGAUUAUAUUACAUUAGAACAUGAAAGAAUAUAUCUUCUGUGCUAAAGUUUGACUCAUACAGACUUAAGUCUAGCCAUUGCAUCAUGCAAUGGAAAGGUCAUUAGAGCAUGACCAUUUGGUCUGUUACGGUAACCGAAGUAAUGACCUUAUCAUGGAUUGAGUCUGUUUGAUAAGGAGUGGGAGUCUACGAUGAAGAUCGAGUUUGUAAUUCUAAGGUUAGGAUUGAAGGUCCAACAAGGAAUUAAGAGCAGGUGCAAGCUUGAGCACCACCAACAACUAAGAAGUCCAAGAUCUUGAUAAGGAAGGAAUAGAUGUUACGGUUAUAACUUAGGAUGGAAAAGUCACUCGUGGGAUCAUUGUCCAACCUUGUUUUGCUGUUGAUUCUGGCACGUAAUCAUCCUAAGGGGUAGAUAACUGUAACACCCACAAAUUUGGGCUAAGCAUUUAAGAUAUAAUAGAUAAUCUUAGCUAAAUAUAUAGUAGUCAUAAUGACUAUCUCGUGGAUACAAGGAGCGCUUAAAUCUAACUUCGUAUAAAUAAGUUAUGUUUCUUCAAAGUUUUGCGAUUAAACCGACACAUCUAUGCGCAUCAUCAAAAAGAAUUAAAUCGGAGAUAGGUUGUUUAUUAGCCUAAGUAAUUGUUUUGGUCAAAAAUCGAUCAAGUGUAAUUCGACCAAAUUGUAUGAGAGGAUGUGGGGUUAGUAUAAUGCAAGUACAAAAUAAUGAUCAAAGUGAGACAAGUGAGUUACAAGGAAAGCCCUUGAUCCUUUAUAGGAUCCCCGACAUAAAACCUUGGGAUUUGAUAAUGAUCACUUGCCUUGAUGUGUUUUAUUGAUUUAAAUAUGAGAUUACAAAGAUGAUGAAUGUAAUAGGAGUAUAAGUGUAAUGUUAGAGCUAAUCGUGUGUGUAGUGUGCGAUUUAUAGGCGUUAUUUAUAAUCUUAGUUAAUCAACAAGAAGUCCGAGAUUUUCGAGAUCCUCCUUGAGCUGGUAUUUGCACAUUGUUUGACUUAGUAUCCUUGGGUCUUAAGCUUGUUUGAAGUAACUUUCCGUUGAGAAUGAGUCUUGUGUUGACUAGUUAUGCACAUGUGAGAAAAAUAAAGAAGAAUAUAGUUGUUAUAAGUAUUAGGAAAUAGUAGUGGUAAUAAUCAAGAUCCUGAGAUAUUUUUAAGGAUCCUGAGGCUUCAGAAAUGUUUAGGAUCCUGAAUAUGAUUCAAGGAUCCUUCCCCCAACAGUAAUCUAAAUGGAAGUCAUAGUAAUCGUAAAAGUAAGAACGUACAUAUAAAGAAUGCCUAAAUCUAACUUCGUAUGAGGAAGUUAUGAUUUUUCGAAGUUUUAGUAUAGCAGUGUAUGAUGUAGAAAUCAAAAUUUAGAUCGGUUGAGUGUUAGCCAAAACAAUAUAAACGAGAGUUGAAGAUCUCAUAAAUAUGAACCCGUCGAUAUAAAGAAAGUCAAGAACGGAGUUCAUAUGAAAGAGUUAUGAUUUUCACACAGACUUUAACAAUCUAAUCUCUAUAAAAAAUGUGAAUUUAAAAUGAAGUGAGAAUUAGUAGUUGAGACCCAAACGAAAGUUGUAAAGCUCGCCAAGAGGAUUCCGAGGAUAUAAAGAACAUCGAAAACAAAGAUCGUAUGGGAAAGUUAUGGUCGUUCGAAGAUUUUAGGAAUUUACUUGUUGUGAUGUUGGGGCACCACCACGAGGCAGCACGUGGAACGGUCGGCAACCCCUUCCUCCGAGAGGCACGAUGAUGUGGCACCACGAGGUUGUGACACAUGGUGUCACAAUAAGCUAACACGUAGCGAGUUUUUUAGAAGAAAUGAGGUGGACCUCUAGAAUGACAACAUGUGGCGGAAGUCGGAUGGGUAAGCAUUACAUUGACGCACGCUGCGCCUCUUGUCUACACGUGUCGAGUGGUGUGUCUCUAUAUCUACCCUCUGAUUUUUCAUUCAUUGCACACAAAUUUCCAAUAUCUUUCUCUUUGAGACAUUCCUCUUUCUUGAGUUUUAUUUUUGGGUAUCUUGGAAUAUUUUAGCAAGACCCCAGAGUCUCUUAGAACCUAACAAUUAUAAGUGUGAGGGUCAGAGUUGUGCUCGCGUAAAUUUUUCAGUUUUUUGUAAGUUGAGCUACACUUACUAUGCUUUAAGUGUAACUUUGUUUAAGUUCAUUAUCAUUAUUAUGAACCUAUAAACAAGAUUUAUCAGUAAUUCCAUGUCAUAAUACUCUUUGAUCUACUUACGGGAGUGAAAUCUAGGCUAAAUCUAGUGAGGUGUUUAAAGUGGAAUUUCCAAAUAGUAUACUCUUUAUACCAAACAUACCUUACCUCCAAUAUAAUUUUACAUGGAUGUUCCUUAUCAUCUAUAGAUAAGUAUUCAUUAGGAUUAUUGAGGAAUCUAGACUAUUGUUACUAUAGUCACCAUGAAUAUCAGAGUAAGACGUAGUGAUAUUCAUACCUAGGUCAUAGCAAAGGAAACUCUAAAGUACUAGGCGAAACAUUGUCCAAAUUUCUAGUCAUCCACUUUUAACAAGUGAGUGCAUAGUUACUUUAAUCUUACAUAAAGAUAUGAAGUAUUUAGAUACUUAAAUGUUAUGUGUGCUUAUUAUUUGUGAUUAAUAUAUUUUGUGCUAGAUGAACAAUAUGAUAUGAUUUUUAUUUAACCAUAUACGUAUUUUCAUAGUUAUAAUAUAUGGGGUAGUGAAGGGUAAUGAUAGAUGAAAAUAAAGGAUUAGAGACCAUGACUUUUACUGUUCUAUUGUACUAGCGAUGUAGUCAUCUAGUAAGAUAUAGGGGACGACCACAUACUAUUCUAAACAAGUCUAGUGAAACAUGGACAUGCUUCCAACCUGUAGAUGUUUAUAAACCAUACACUGGCAGGUUUACAACAUGUUUCAAUAGACUUGUUUAGAAUAGUCUGUGGUCGUCCCCUUUAUUUGUGAAAAACAGUUCUUCCGAAAUAUAAUUCAUUUUAUAGCAUAUAAUUUUAUAAUGAAUAUACAAUAUUUUCAUUUUUUGUAUUUUAUUUUUUAUAACUAUAAAUUAUACUUUUUUUGUAUUUUAUGUAUAAAAAUAAAGGUACGUAUUGGUAUUUAUAUUUUUUGUAAUGAAAUAUAAUUCAUUUUAAAAAUGUCUAAUUAAAUGAGGAGGUUUUAUAUAAAAUUUUAUAUAUUAGUUAAAUUUAAAGAAUGUUAUUGGAAGAUGUUAAUUACUAGAUAGAUCUUUUAAUUAUAUGUUAAAAUUAUUGAAAUGAAAUCAUCACAUCGAUGGUCUAAUGGUAGAAAAGCUUUAUAAUCACUCACAAAAAAGGAUUGACCCAAGUUCAAUCCCCGCAUGUUAAAAUUAUUGAAAUGAAAUCAUCACAUUUAUGAGUCAGUUUGGGGUUAUUGGACUUAGGUUGCCAUUUUUGGGACUAAAUCACCAUUUGAUGCCAUUAUGUUAAUAUAUAAGCAUCAAGUUUCGAGCUUUACGUGACUUUCAUGAUUGGGAAGGCCAGAUCUGUGGAUUAGGGGCACAUAUCUGACGCCAGGAGGUCAAUAGAGAUGGUGCAUGGCAUGAACUCACCGAGUUGUUCUUGAGACUCGACGAGUAGGGUUAGGGUUUCACAUGAAUAGCUCUGUGAGUAGACUUGCCGAGUUGGGGGAUAACUCAGUGAGUCAGAAGGGGUUAGAGGAUUGGGGUUAAAGGCGGUACUCGCCGAGUUAUUCUUAAGACUCGGCGAGUUGAGUCGGGGUGGCCACGCGAUUCAUGCCAGGUGUGACUCGUCGAGUAAAGAGAAGGACUCGGCGUGCCAAGAGAGGGACUAAGAGAAUCAGUGGACACGUGUAGACUCGCCGAGUCGCCCAAGUGCACUCGACGAGUUGGGUCAAAGUUUGACAGUUGACUUCUGUUGACUUUAGGGUUUGGUCAACAGUGAGGCCUUUGAGCCAGGAGAGGGGUAAAAUGGUCUUUUACCCUUUUGAGGAUGUUAAGAAAGGUUGGAGUAUAGUUAUAUUUAUGGGAGUAUUUUCUUUAUGUGAUUAGGCGGAGGCUAGAUCACGUUUCUACUGAGAUAGAGACUUACCGAGAUAUCAGAGGUGAGUCUUUUCACCAUACUGUACCUGGAAAGGUACCUAUGUGUGACCGAAAGGUCUUGUAUGCUAUGAGUUGCAUGUUUUGUAUGUGUUAUGUAUGUGAUAUGGGCUGGAAAUCAUUAUGACGUGGACCAGAAGGUCAGGGAGUCAUGGACCGGAAGGUCGAUAUAAGUAGGACCCGAAGGUCUACUGGGACUGGGACGGAAGUCCCCUGAGACACAUGGACCGGAAGGUCGUGUAGAGUAUGGCCUGGAAAGGCAUAUGUGUGUAAGGGUAUUUUGGGGAACUCAUUAAGCAUUUAUGCUUACAGUUAUUGUGUUAUGUGUUUCAGGUACAAGCGAGGACCGUGGAAAGGCGCCGACGUGACUCGUACACACUAGAGAGAGGAUUUGACUUUUUGUGAUCUUGGGAUACGAUAUGUGUUGAUAACUAUUACUGGAUAUUUUAUAAAACAUUUUAUGUGAAAAUGGUUUUGACAAAAUGAAAUUUUUGUUUUGAAAUUUACGUUGUUACAAUAUGUUAUUAAGGUGUUGAAAGUAAUGAUAUAAAAACUAGGAUGUGGUAAUGAUUUUUGUCAUAGGAUUGAUUAAUCAUAUGAUAUGUUAUUAAGGUGUUGAAAGUAAUGAUAUUAGGUUGGACGGAGUGGGAGCGGAGAAGCCUGCGGGAACCUUCCCACCCGGCUGAACACCGCAUCGUCGGUGCGGGGAAGGGAGGUGCAGGAAACGGAGAGGGGUGCCUCUCCCGCUCUCUCUCUCUCUUGUUGCGAUUGGUUGUAAUUUUUUAUUUAUUUUUUUUUUGAAAUUGAACCGUUACUCAAUGCUUAAAAAGUAAUUUUUUUUGCUGCAACCGCUAACUCUUUUUUUUUUUUUAACCUUUUUCCACACCUAUAAAUACAUAUAUAUUUAACAUCACAAUAUUCACACUACCCUCUUUUCUCUCUAUUUUGUUCUAAAAAAAAUGAAUCCCGACAAUCAAACCCCAACUUCCGAUCGAAGGAAAAAAAGUCAUGGUUCGGGUAUAAAAAUCCAUUCUCGAACUAUUUUUGCUAUCGAUUCAUCCCCGCAAGGAGUUUACCGUCCCCAACUCAAUGCUCCCAUUCAAUCCUCACUACAAUUCUAAUACCAAAAUGUUGGACAAUAUUACCCGAUGCAAGUUCCAAAUGUUCUGCCACAAAUGUUUUCAAACUUUGUUGUGUUUCCGGAUCAAAAUUCGUCAAAUCAACCUCAACCCCAAACUCAACUCAAACUCAAACCCAAAUCCAACAACAACACCAACUUAUCGAUGAGUCGGAUGACGCGGAAGAAGAAGACAUGGUUCCCGAAACUCAACCAACACCACCCCCACAAACACGUAAAGGGAAAAAAAAACAAUCGCGCAAGGGUGUCGCGCAACCGAGAAGACAAAAGCCGACAACAUGGCUUCCACACGAAGAGCUAGUUUUUUUCAAAGCUUGGGUUGACAUUUCUAAAGAUUCGAUUCACAGAAACGCACAACCAGGAGACCAUUUUUGGUUUCUCAUUUUAGAACAAUUUCGAGAGGAGCUAGAAAAAGUGACGACUACCGUACGAAACAUCAACUUAAUUCAAAGUUUCGAGAAAUAGCAAAGGGGGUUUCAAAAAUAAACAGGUUGUACAACAACCUAAAAACUCAACGAAAAGCGACCAAGGCGACGGACAAAUACUUUAAGAAGCGUUGUAGUUUUACCUUGAGGAAGUCGGAAAACCAUUCAAGUGGCUCGAUUGUUGGAAAUUAUUGGUUCGAAGUCUUAGGUUGAAAAAAUACGAGCAAAAUUUUAUGUUUGGAGUCCAACAAUCAAAGCGAACGAAAACGAACUCUAGUGGUUACACAACCUCCUCCGAUGCUUGGGUCGGUCUAGAUUUAAAUCAGGACGACGAACUCGAACUAGAAGAAAUUGCCUGCCCAAUGGGUAGGGACAAAGCGAAGAGAAAGGGAAAAGAGACUUCUUCGAGUGCAUUUGAUUUUAGUGUGGACAUUGACGAAAUGCGGAAGAUAACAUCGUCGUUUGAUCGAUAUAAUCUAAAUUUCUCCGAUCGUUUGAACUUUCGACAAAGAAAAAGAAGAAACAAGGAAAAAGGAGCGGGCGGAGAGACAAGAAAUGGAGGACAUGAAGUUUUUGAUGGAAAACGUUUAUCAUCUCUUGGGACCGGCUCUCAAGCUGGUGAUGAAAAAGAGAGAAAAAAAUUCUGAAAAAAUAUUUUCCGUAGGUCAUUGUUGGUUUGUUUGAUUUUUAGUUUGUGUGUGUGUGUGUUUUAAUUUUCUUGUUUUUAAAAUUUUAGGUUUAAUGUAAUUUUUAUUUUAAUUAAUGAAAUGCUUUUUAUUUUUAAUUAAAUUUUAUGUUUAGUAUUAAUUUAAAAAUUCUAAUUCAUAACAAAAAAAUAUUAAUUUUAUUUAAUAAAAAAAAGUGAGGGAAUGGCUUCCCACCCAUUCUUUGGGUUUUAAGUGAGGGAAAGAAAAGUCAGGGAAAGGAGGGUGUGGCCCACAAAAAGUAAGGAAAGCUUCCCUCCCACUCCUUCCGGUCUUAGAUAAAGUGUUGAAAAUUAAUUUUAACUAUUUCAAAGUAUUUGUGGUUCAAACUUGUUAGGUCCAGUUAAGUGUUGCGUCUUUGGGCUCGUUAGAUAGUCCAGUUUUGUCUCCGGUAUGGGCCUGUCCAUCCGUGAGUUGUUUUUGUAGGGUUUAUUAUAUAUAGAUGCUUGCAUGCAUUCUUUAANUAACAAGAUUGAGAAGAUUUGAUAGAGAUUUUAUAGCGUACAAGUUCAUAUCUUUUGUAACCCUAGAAUCCUCUACAACGGAAGUUCUUCAUCGAGCUCUGCUGAGGAUUGAGUUAAUCAAAUCAUUCGACUCAUUCAGACCCAUUCUUGUGUUUUUGUCUUACUGUUAUUACUUUCUUGUUUUGCCUGUUAUAAGAUCUAAUCAAUCUAGAGUUUUGUAAACUCAUCAAUUGGUAUCAGAGCAGGAGGCGGCGUAAUUCAUACACAUCUCUUUUGUGAAAGAAGUGAUUAGGGUUAUUCCGCACUAACUGAUAUUUAUUGAGCUGUCACUCCAUAAUUGACGUAUCUUAGUAUUUAUUCGUUUUGCCCUAAUAUUACAUAUUACAAGUCUGAUCUUUCAAACAGGUUAAUCGAUCAAGCAUGGACGAUUCUCAAUCUAAUCCUAUCAACAUCUCAAACAGUAUUGGAUCAACAACAAAGAUUCCUAUUCUUUACACCCAGGAUUACGAAGUUUGGGCGCAUCAUUUUGAAGACUAUGUCAUCGGAUCUGAAGAUAAUGGGUAUCUUAUAUGGGAAGCUAUUGUGUCUGGACCAUUUGCUCAUUCAGGAACAUCCAGAAUCAUUAAAACUCAGAAAGAGUAUAAUGAUCUGUUAAAAGAUGUGAAAGACGUGGCUCAAGACGGAAAUGAGAAGUUUCAGUGCAACAUCAAAGCAUUGAGACUGAUCCUGUUCGCUCUUCAGUCUGACACUUUUAGGUUGGUGAGUUCCUGCAGUACAGCUAAAGAAAUCUGGGAUCAGCUGCGAGAGCUGUAUUCCAUAGAUGAAGAUUUGGAGCACUCUAUUCAGACCUUGCUUUUGUCUGAGUUUGGUGAGUUCAAGCAAAAUUCCGAUGAGUCCGUCACUCAGACGUUUGAUCGCUUCAAUCAUCUUCUUAGCAAGAUGAUCAAACAUGAUAUCGAAAGGAAGUUGAUUGAAUAGAAAGUCACCUUUCUGAAUGGCUUAAGAUCCGAAUGGAGAGUUGUCGUGUCUACAGGUAAAGCUCAUGAGCAGUUCAAGUCUUAUUCGUUGGCAAAACUGGUGGGAAUUCUCAAAUCUCAAGAAAACAUUGUGAUGCAAGAGAAAAGUGUGGUCUCAAACUUGGGGUCCUUGGCCCUCCUGUCCAAAAGCAAUAAUGUAGUAGAAAAUGAAGAUCUGAACCUAGAGGACUACGAUCUUACUUCAGAAGAUUAUGCUAUAAUGGUGUCCAAUCCAAAAAGGUUAAUCAAGAAGAGGUUUCCUACCAAUAAGAACCGAAAUUGGCAGGGAAGCUACAGCUCAGAAAAAGUAAGGGAGGAGCCAAAGACUGAGGAACCAAAGAAAGAGGCGAAGGUUGAAGGAGAUUUUGGUGUCAACUGCUACUACUGUGGAGGAAAGAAUCAUUAUGCCAAAGAUUGUGUUCUGAAGAAAAUGGCAGAGAAAGAUGAGGAGAAAGAUGAAGAGGCUGUCUUGAUGAAAAAGCUGGAAGAGAUCAAGAGGAAGAAAGCUGUUGCUAAUCCUUCUAUGAAUGCUCUUAUUGUACAGGGUUUGGAAGAGGAUGACGAGUUCGGUGGAGUGCAAGUGUGGUCAACCGACUCAGAAGAUGAUGAGGUGAGAAAGCCUUCGCAUGGAAAGGCGUAUGUCGCAAGAGGUGGUGAAAGCAGUGGAAAGUGUCUGAUGGUGACUGACGUUUCUCACAUGAGAGGAUACAAUACAGAUGGUGGAAAUGAGGACACCAAGGAGCAAGAGGACUUAUGCUUCACAGCAAAACCUCUCAGUGUGCAGAUCAAUGAACUUGAUGAAUUGAUCAAGAAGGUACAAUCUCUUUUUAUCUCGUUCAAAGUUCCACAGAAAUCAUAUGAAAAGGAAUUAAAUAACUUAAAUUCAAGAAUCUCAAAUCUGGAUAGUUGUUUAACUCAAACACGGGUCACCAAUUCUAACCUAACUGACCAAAUAAGCAGGGUGUCAUCCAAGAGUGAGGAGCGAAGGAUGUGGAUUGAGCAGAAGGAGUCGGAGCUGAUUAAGUCUAAGGAUGAAAACAUUUAUUUACAAAGAGACAAUUUGAAACUUUUAAAACAAAGGAAUGUUUUUUGUUUGAUUGCUAAAACACUUUAUGCUAACAUUAGUCAACUGCAUCUAAAUUGUGAAAUAGGGCAGAAAAUACAUCGCAUGAUUUUGCCCUUCCUUAAGUUUAAGGAGGAUGAAAUCGAUGCUGAAGCAUACAACUGUGAAAGUGUUGUAUCGUGUGAUGAUGUGAAUCCCACUUACGUGUACGGUCUGGACAAAAUAGAAUCUUUCAUAAAGUCCAAAGACCAUAAGGACAUGCUGAAAAAUCUUUUGGAUGAAAACGAUAAGCUGAAACUAAGGACCGAAACCAUACAAAAAUUCGACUCAUUGAGUGCCAAUUUAAGUUCAGAAAAUAAAAUUGAUGUUGAAAACGCAUCUGAACUUAAUGAGGACGAUGAUAUGAGUGAAAUUUCUGUAGAGGAUGUAGUCGACUGUUCUGAGUUUGUCAAGAGCGAACCCGAAAACCACAAAAAUCUGAUUUCUGAAAAUUCUGUGGAGUUCGCUCGUUUGUCCCAAAAUAAGUCCCCGAUUCUUGAAGAAAAGGCUGUUGUGUACCAAAAGGUGAGAACAACACCAAAUCANCGCUCAUUGCGCGUCGUAAAAGGCUCAGACGACACGCAAAUGCGCGUCAAGGAAGGCCCUGUCAUAAAGAGAGAUGACGCGCUUUUGCACGUCGUCUAUAGACGACGUGCAUUUACGACGCACGUUUACGACACGCAAUGCGUAUCAAGGAAGGCCCUGUCAUAAAGGAAGACGACACGCAUUCGCGUGUCGUAACCUUACAACGCGCAUGUUAAUGACAUGCAAUGCGUAUCAAGAAAGCCCCUGUCAAGAAAGGCCAUGUCAUAAAUGAAGAUGACCCACAUUUUUGCGUAUCAUAAUUUUAAAAGUUUAAAAAAAAUAUUACUUAUGGAUUUACUAAUUUUUAAAUUAAAUAAUACAUUAAAAAUCUCAUAAUACAAAAUAAAAUAUCAUAAAUAACAAAGAUAAUUCAUUUCACUAAUAUGUCAAAUACAAAUAAUUAUUCCAAUAGUGAGUAAAUGUUAUAAAAAAAUGAACUCAUUUAUAUACAAUUGCAUUAUCUAGCUUACUAUGUGCCAACAACUCUCCGUGUGUUUACUUUUGCUUGAGUCUUCAUUCCUCCAAAGCUUCUAGCCAUGCCAAAACAUGAUAUCUUAAAUUCAUCAACUCCUUGGCAUGAAGUCUUAGAUAGAAGCUUCACUACAAUCUCCAAUCCUUCUAGCAGACCCUAAAGAUCAUUAUUGGCCAUGUAGCAGGAUCAGCCUGCAAUCUCUUUUCUGCCUUCUUAUUACUUGCAGCAUCUUCUAUCUCUUUGACCAAGGUUGUGCCUUCAGCAGCAACAUGCUGCAUUGCAUCAAAAAGAUAAAAACAAAUGACAACAAAUACAAAUAACUGCAUUCUACUUCAAAAAAAAUACAAACUUGUUUAAUUCGUGCACACAUACUACUAGAAAAACGCUCACACCAUUGUCUGUAAUUGUAGAAGUAUAAAAUUUGAACAAUUAGACACUAUGAAUCCACCAAGGACUCCUACAUGUUCAUAGUCUUUAACAAAAUGUAUAAGUAAAAAGCACAUGCAAUAGAUGUUAACAAUAAUGAUCAUAAUCAUACCUGAAGCUCAUGUUCUGCAGCAGACCUGUAACCCAAGAUAUCUUCUAUAUCAGAUACUUUCUCUAUUUGGUCCAACUCCAAAACAAUUUCAUCAUCCAGAGGCUGAUCAUGAUUCAUAUACACCAAAUAAUGUUUGAAUCAUAUACACCAUUUAAUGUUUAAAUCAAGAAAACUAUAUGUGUAAUGACUAAUGACCUCACCUGCUCUUUUCGUAGACAUUCCAGUUUCAACUUGUACAACUUAACAUAUCGUCUUUUUCUGCCUCUGUACAAGUAAAAGAUUUUAAAAGGUUUAAGAUUUCAAGCAUUCCAUGAUGAAAAUGCACACAACAAAUAGUAUAACAUGGUAGAUCAUAGAUGUUAAUCUUGAAGAAAGAACAACUUACAAACGUUCUCCUAAUUAUUUCCAUGAAGUUUUCUUCAUUCUUUUACGAACAUCAGAUAACACAGAGUUUUGAGCAUAACGCCACCAUUGCAUCUGCCAUCCCAAAGGUCUUUAUGAUAUAGGUAUCCCCCAAGGGCGAUAUCGUCCAUAUCUAAAAACACUAAAAGACCAAUGUGCCUCACAAUCUGAAAGUGUAAUUAAAAAAAGGAUAACACUGAUGAGACACCAUUCCACUUACUUCUCUCUUAGCUGACAAGUGUAUAGAUAAUCAUACAGAUACAAUAUUUGCUGCAAUUGAUCUUCAUCAAGGGACAAGACCUAAAAGUUGGUGACAUGCUGACAUGUCAGUUGAAUUUGAUGUAAUCUGACCUAAUAAACUAAUAAAUGAUUAAUUAGUUACUUAUAAUUACAAAAGUUAAGAAACUAACUAAGCCAGAUAACUCGAUAUCAACCGAGUAUUGUGCUGCAUUAUUCUCAAGCCUUCCAGACCUGUUCACCUGCAAUGUACAAUAGUAAAAAUCUAUCUAAUGUGCAAAGUACAACAACUCUAAAUUUGUUAUGAGAUGAUGCAUACCGAAAGAGAAGCAGAUACAUCAAUUGGGGACAACAAGUGAUCAUGUUCAUUAUUUUGAAAGCUUUCAGCAACCAUUGACAUGGAUUCUUCAGGGCGUGCUUUUUUAGUUAAUCUUGCAUGCUUUUUAUGCUUUACAACCUUUUGUUGCUUGAUUUCAGAGUUCAUUGGCCCAAUCCUGCAAUACACAAACAUAACUUUAGAGAAAAAGUGUGUGUGUGUGUGUGAGAGAGAGAGAGAGAGAGAAAGAGAUUGGUUGCGAACCAAUCAAGAACAUACAAUAAUACAAACAACAACCCCCACCAAGCUUCUUAUUUUUCUUUUUUAAUUUAAAAAUAAAUAAAUAAAAAGGAUACCUGCAAAGGACAGCAUGGGGUAUUGUUAAGCAACAUCGUUUAGGCUUGAGAGAGGCAAGGCAACUCAGCAGCAGCUGUGGCAGUAAGUGAUGCAGACAGUUGAGAUUGUAUUCAACCAAUCAUAGGGACAGGCUGUCCUACUCCUACUCAUUCGUUUGCUAUCGACUCAUUCACUACAACUGGACCACCAUUGUGGCCUUCUUGAAUCGAGUCUUGUGGUUGAAGGAGAGGAGAAGAGAGGCAAGGGCAUUAAUGGUAUUUUUGUUGCUAAACUUAAACGGUCUAUGCCAUGCAUAUUGCCCAUAUAUACAGCAGGAGGGGGAUAAUGCAGAUAAUCUAGAGAUAUGUUCGGGCAUAUAAAAAAUGAUAAGGGGUGUACCUCAAUCAAACAC